rnacentral:lncRNA from 1 species
GUCUCUCUUUUGUGGUAUUUUUGGAUCCUUACCAAGGCAGUAAUAGUGUAUAUGCCUUCUCUCAAAGUAUGUGGUAUUUUUGGUAUGGGGCAUAGUGGCAUUGCCUUCUCUCUCACCCUACUCUAAUAAUGUUUUGAUAUCUGGAGCUCAUAGGUGGGAGACAGCUAAUACAUACUUACAAGACAUUUAUUGCAUAGUCAAACCAUGGAUCCAGAAGAACAAGUCAAUAAGUCAAAUCAAGAUGUGUAUGUGUGGCGAAUGAAUGGUGAUAAUGGUUAAAAUAAUGGUGAAAGUCUAAUUCUCCUUGUGCUCUUUUGAGGGGAUACAUACCUUUCUUGCUCUUUUGAAACUUUUUGAGGAGAAUGAGAUGCUCUAUAUUUUCUUUUUCUUUUCUCUCAGGUAGGUAUCUUGUACCCCUAAUUCUACUGUCGCACACUUGUCCACUUUUACCUCUCGUCUCACUUUUUCUUUUCUUUCGAGGUUCCGGGCACUUGCCCCUUUUUAUUUCCUCGUAUCUUCUUUUUUUAGAGCACUCAGCUCUUUAAAUAAUGUAGCAAGUGGUAUUAACCGAAAUAACUUGAGCAUUUAUUUCACAGGGGAAAACAGAAAUAGGAGAAUGUUUUUGGCUAUUCUCUCCUAGAUGGGAGUAGAAUAAUUUUGGGUGAAUCUGGAUAUGGAAAUGAGUGGAUAUAUGUGGAUGCGUACUUCCGGAGUAGAAGUAGCAUAUAUGAGUGAACGUGCAAGUGAAUCUUGAUUUAACCACAUGACAAGCUCCUAUGGGUCUACACAGCUUGACCACACUCAAUGCUCAUAAGUUGUAAAAAGUAAAUGUGUGGCUCAAAGUCUAGCAAGCAUGUAUAUAUGGCUGUGUAGGAUUUUAAACUCUCAUCAUACAAGAACUCAUCAUGCAACAUUUUAAAGAUUUUCAAAGAUAAAAUUCUCCAGAAUUCUAGCAUCUCUAGGAACAGAUAAACAGCAGCACAACCUUCCCAUAUCGUAUCCGUUAACAACUUAGACUUUAGAUUAAGUACUCUUCCCACAUGUUCAGGUUUAGAGCAAAUCUUAAUUAAUAACAGUCUUGCCUAAACUUGAGAGAGAUUUCAAUUUUGAGAAUUAGUCAUGGAAGAGCAACUAUUCAUCAUCUCCAUGUGAGAGCUUAUCAUGAGGGUUCAUAGCAAACUUUAUUUAUUUAUUUAAUUAGCAAACUAAGCAAAGACAUAUAAGCACAAAUUCUUUAUUUGGGUUUAUAUGAUUAUGUAUCUUUUUAUUAUUAGAGUAAGGCGUGAGUAGAAUACUUAGUUGGAUAAAUGGGGGUGCUCUCCCCCAGGCUGGAUUUUGACGUAUUUUCUUCUGAUGUAGCUAGCAGGUGGCAGAGGUGUAUUUGAAUGUCUGCAGCACCCUGACAGCGAUUAGGAUAUCCUCCAUCUGCUAGUCUUCUUUGAUCCUUGAAUUUUGUGGAGCUCAAAUAGACAACAAAGCUUUGUGGAACUAGUUAAGUGUUAGCAUAAAUAUCUAGCCUUUAUCAUGUUGAGCCUCCUCAAUAAAUGUUACACUCUUUGGUAGGAUCAUAAAUUUAUUUUUAUAUUUUCAUUUUUAUAGGACAGGAAUAUAUUUAUUUUAUUUUUAUGCCACCACAGUGAAUGUACUUAUGGGUUUUAUGCCAUGAGCAUACUCACAUGGGGCUUACUAUUUUUAACAUUUUUAGUUUCUUUUCAAGAUGAUAUGAACCUGAUUAACUAAGCAAACUAUUUAAAUAAUUGAAAGGAAAAAGGAUAACUACCAGGUUUACCUCUUGGCAAGGCCUUACCACUUCUUCUUCAUAGUCUGCCCAUCCGUCCUUGAUGAUUUGCCUCCUCUGGUUGCGGUUGCGUCGUCUUCUUCUUGUCCUGACCUACUUAGAGUCUUCAACUAUAUAGUUAGGGUCAGUAAAAUAACGGCGUACCUUCUCAGAGGGGAAGUGCAUGUGGACUUCUCCGGUUCCAAUGUAGAUGAUUGCUUUAACGGUGCUGAGGAACGGUCUCCCAAGGAUAAUGGGUGGAUCGUACUCGUCUUCUCCCAUGUCAAUAACCUAAAAAUUUGUAUGGGCAAAAAUGAUCGUCUAUUUUGACAGGGACAUCAGUUACUAUACCUUCAACCUUUCGGAAUGUCUGAUCUGCCAUCUGGAGCUGAAUGUAUGUCGGUUUUAGGGGCAUGGUUCUGAACAGGAGCUGAUAGGUGACUGCGGCCAUUAUGUUGACGCCUGACCCGGUGUCGCAAAGCGUCUUCUGGAAGUUGUAUCCAUUAAUGGAGCACUGGAUGCUUGGCAUACCUAGGUCGUCCUUUUUGUUAGGAUCGGUGACUUAAGUCGACGAUCUUGACCUCCUUGAACUGCAGUGACCAUCUUAGCUGACUCAGUCCACACUUGCUUGUUUUUGUUCCUCCUAAUGGUCCUCUUCCUUGGUUGAUGUUGGGAUUGCUCUAAGAUUUGUGUAGUCUUGUUCUUGAAGCAAAACGUUUCCUUCUUUCCCUUUAUGUAGAAACUGAUCUUGCCAGCACUAGCGUAGAUGACAGCUCCCGAGGUGUUCAGGAAUGGCCUCCCUAGGAUGAUGGGUGCCCUCUCAUCAGUACCAGUCUCUAUCACCACGAAGUCUACUGAGGCGUACAAUGUACCAACUCAUACGCAGAGGUUCUUCAAUAUUCCCUUUGGCAAACUUAGUGUCCGAUCUGCAAGCCUGGGCAUAAUGUUGACGCUGGAGCUAAAGUCGCAGAGUGCUUCUGGGAAGUCCACCAUGCCGAUGGAGAUCAGGAUGACGGGGCGUCCUGGAUCGCCUCUCUUGACCGGCAGAAGGUCAGUAAUUACUUUCACAACAGGGUUACUCCAGUAGUUACCUGCAUCAAACAUGUCUACAAGAUUUGCAGAUUCUAAUCCUUCCGGUUGUGAUGGUAUACCGGGGUUAGUAGUAGGAACAGCAGCAUCUAUUUGAUUUAACUGAGAUUCAAUCAUUUUAUUAAAGCUAAUUUGAUUCUUGAUGGCAGUAAAGAAAUUAUCCAUUAGCUUUCCUUGAUUAGACACUAACUCUUUCAGAGGAGGAAAAUUAUUAUUAUUAUUGUAAGAAUUAUUACCUUGAUAAUUACCUGAGUAGUUAGGCCUCUGUUGAUUCCAACAUUGAUUUUGUUGAGGACGGUUGUAGUAGUAGUAGUAGUAGGAAAGCUUGUUGUUGAUGUAGUUUACGUCCUCAAGCAUCUCAGGGCAGUGAUUGCCUGAGUGUCUAAUAUCUCCAGUGUGCUUGUGCUCGUAGAUCUAGGUUCUUCACUUGGUGGAGUCUGGGAGUUGUAAAACUCCUUCAUAUUUUGCUCGAAGUGUACCUGCUCAUAGAGACAAUGCAUAGAUCAAGUGCAUGGGCCCUGUUGGUGGAAAACACCAGCAGAACCAAAAGUGUAUUUGUUCUUCUCUAACCUUAAGCAUAGUGAGCAAGACAAAGUUGAUGGAUAAUAAGAUCAUGAGUGUAGCAUUUAAAACAUUUGUUAGAUCAGAUCGCUCAACCUAAUGGAAAGAUAAUCUAUCUAUACUUAUAUUUUUUUAUAUAUCUUCCAAAGAUUGUGUGUGCAACAUUUUAGCUCAUAUGAUUAGGAGUGUGGGAUCACAAAGGUGGAAGGACUAAACAUAUUGAAUCGACUGGGUUGGUUAAUCUAGAGUUGUAAAUCAUACAUGUUUGUCUCUUUUAUUCAUGUGUACGCGAGAACCAAGGAGAAGCUUAUAAAAGUGAUAGUCAAGUACAUUAAGAUGUUACCUUACUUGAAGAGUGCUGGUACAGUAUCACCUUAUGGAAGCUUUCCUUUCAUAGUGGUUGUGCAUCGUGUUUGUAGCACCCUCCAUGGAUCAUCUCUUGUGAGCUAUGCCUUCCUUUUGUAAAUUGUUAAACUUCAUUUGUCUCUCUCUUUGUCUCCAAUGUGAGUUUAUCUCAGGACUUCCCAGGUCGAUAUUGAAAGUUUUCCUGCAGGGGUUAGUCCAACAAAAUAUACCAAUGUCUACACAAGCAGUUUUUAGUUCAAUAACGCAACUAGACUCCAUGUCUAAUCAGAUUAAGGAAGGCUGUUUAACCCAAGCACCAUGCUUAAUUUAAAAGCCAAUAGAAGUAUGUGCAGUACUUCCAAACUAACACUUACUAGGAUAAACAAAGGUAGCGUGAUGGCAUUUAUAGAGAUCUACUCAAGUGGAAAUGAAGUAGUGUGAUUAGUAUUUAACAAAUUGAGCAUGUCUCAAAGGUAGGGACAACCCACAUAGCAACAUGGCAAAGGAUGUUUUUAUGUAAAGUACUCCCCCAAGCUUGAAUAUUGCAAAAUUCAAGUUUGGAUGAAUUUAAUUCAAUGUUGCAUGAUGAUUGGUUGGACAUACCUUGCGCUUGUCAUUCAUCCGAUCUUCUUGCUCCAAUCCUGGAAAGGUUAGUGACAAGAAUACCGGGAGGAAUUUUUUACAAUUAUCCUUAUAAGCUCAAGACACAAGGUAAUGAUGCAAAUAAUUAAAAGCUCAUGUUACGAUCUGAUCAGUGAUUAUUUUAGGACACUAAGCUUGUCCUUGGGAAACCAUCAAUUUAUGUCGGCGAAAUGGUUUCCCAUCCAACGCUAACCUAUAUCAAGAUCAACUCAACGAGAUCUGCAAUAUUUAUUAUAGACAUAUGCAUCGACAACCGCCCUUUUAAAGUUUUUAUAAAUAGAAAGGAAGAGUGGGUUGGAGAUCUCGAAUGUGGUGAUGUUGGAGAGACCAAAAGAUUCGAAAGAUGUUGCAUAUGAGCAUGGAGUAAACGAAGUCGCUAUGAAAUAAAUUCCAUGCUCAUUAAUGUUUGGAGUGAAAUCCAUGUGGUAUAGUGAAAACGGUAAGGUGAGUGUGGUAAAAAAAGAAAAGAAAAAGGAUACACAGACGACUUGGUUCGAAACUAGAACAACUACCGUUCCCCGGCAACGGCGCCAGAAAGCUUGUUGGGUAUUUUAAACGCAAACAGAAAAAUCCACAAGCGCACGGAUACCGAUGUAGCUUUCACCCGGGAGUAUUCCAAAGUAUCGAUCUUCCAUAGGGAACGUGAGUGUACUAAUUAAGAUUCAAGAUCGCCCAAGGAUAACUAUAUAAUUAUUAUUGGUGGGAAGAGAGGAAGUUCUGAGAGUUCUCUAGUUGAUAUAAGAAUCAAGAAUUACUUCAAAGAUUAUUUAUUUUGGGACAUCAGAACACUAACCACAGAAAGAGAUGAGAAGAGGGAUAGGAAGCUCUGACUACGGUCCUACAAACACUGAUCCGAACGAGGUGGAAUACGUCGACCGUUAGGGCUGUCACUACCCUAGGGCUACCACAACAAUCCGCAGGAUUGGGUGCAAUUCCAGGUAAUUGCAAGACUAAACACCACGUUAAAUCUAUUAAUUACUACUCUAGCGUUAUAAAGACUAGAGCACUUGAUGCAAGCAGGGAUCCAAUAAAUAACUUGAAUGUAAAUAAAAGUAAUUAAAGAACUCAGGAAUUAUGAAUUGAAGAACUUGGAGAACGAUGAAGAACGAACCAGUUGCUGUAGAAGUACAAUGUUGAGGAAGAUCCGACAGAUCUGGCUCCUCCUCCGCUCUCCUCUUCUCUCUCCCUAUUUUCUAGAUUACAACUAGAACUAACUAGAACUAGAACUAGAGGAACUAGAACUAGAAUUAGAUGAACUAGAGGGAUCCUCUCUACGUGGAUGAAGAAUUGAGACACUAGCUUUGAUUCUGUAAAAGAGGUAUGCUCUCCAGGGGCCAGGGGGCUUGCUUAUAUAGUCUUUUCAGAUGAAUCUGGGCCGUCGGAUCAAACCGACAUUGAUUGAACGGUUAUCCUUGAUCCUUUAGGUCGGUGGAGCAUGAUCCCCGAAGAGGACUCUGAUUGGGCGCCAAAGGGGGGCGGGCGCCCUGGUCUCUAGGGCGGGCACCCUGGGCCAGGCCCCAUUCUGCCUCUGCUUCGUUCCCGUGGCUUUAGGAGUCUUCUAGAUGAUAGAAAAUUGCACGGCACGUCAGUAUCUCUAUGUAAACCCGACAUGUGGGCCUUUCUUCCAUAUUUCUUGAUAACCCCCUGCAGAAAUAGACAAACACCAAAACUCGUGGAAUUCUGUUAGACAAAACCCUAAGUCUGGGUGUUGGUUGCAUAUAAGUCCUUUUCCAUGAUUAGUUGACAGUUACAUGUGAGCAUUAAGGACCGUCAACAAUAGUGUUCCCUGCCCGCUCACCUUGGUAGUGUUAGUGGGUCCUACAAACCCCGAGCACAUGGGUAACACAACUUACGGGAAAAGUGCACACCUCUGCGUUGAGUUUGAUCAAACUGGUAUACUAGCCGUGCUCUCGGACAUGAGCGGCCUUGGACCCUUAUGGAAUAGUUGGGUGUGGAUGGUUAUGGGGAAUGACUUAUGAAAAUAUGAGGCAUUGAUCAUGAUGAUUAAUGUGGUUUAACUGUGAUGGUGAUGGUGUUAACCAUGAAUGUUAACGGUGUUAUUAUCUGGUACACAUGUGGGUUAAUCGGGUUCUAGGCAUAACUAAUGAAUUAUUUAUGAUUAAAACAUUGACUAACUAAAAUGCUAACUUCAGUAGCCAGUGUCUGACCUUUUUGAGCCACAUAAAAUCCUGCGUUAUGCUUGCAGAGUACAAGAUGUACUCACGCUUGUUUCUAUAUUCUUUUUAUACAAAACUCCCGGAUGGGUAACAGAUGACAGCGUCUAUGAGGAAUUCCCGGAGGACUUCUAGGUUGGCGAUCCCUUAGUCGGUCGUCCUGUGUUGGAGAUAUCAAGUUAUAGUUAGAUAUGAGUUUUAUUUCCGCUCGUUGCUAGACUUUGAUGUUCGUGGUUGUAAUAAUCGUUAUGUAAGACACUUGUGAUGAUACUUCUGUAAUUUGUCGACUUGUGUGCGCGACUAUUCCUGGAGCGCACAUGAGGUUUAUUGUACUCAAAUUUAUCCUUAAAUUUGGGUGUGACACAUAUGCUAUCUUUCUUUUUCAAAAUCAUGCAAAACCCACAGUUUCUGCGUAGGGACUGUGUAAGAGGAUUUGAAUCCAGGUUGUUCCAUGUUUCAAUUACCGAAGAUAGCUUGGUUGACACUAUGAAGUUCAUAAAUCCAGGUGAAGCUUGGAAUAACAUGUAUGCAGAUUCUUUUGACAAGAAGAUGAACCCAUUUGGUCCUUAGUGCCUUCACUCGAGGACGAGCAAAGAACCAAGUGUGGGGGAGUUGUUGGUACCCCUUAUCCUAAAAUUAUAAACAUCAUUUUAAUAAGUAAAAUAAAUAGAUGGUAGGGCUUUUAACUAACCUUUCCACAAGUUUUGUUGUGAAUGUCAAUUUCAGGAAUGACACAUGGAAAGGUGCAAAAGACAAGAGAAAGCGCAAUUUGAGAAAGUGUAUUCAGAAAAGGUGCAAAUCAAGAUAAAAUGGAAAAGCCCACCAAAACACCGAACCAAAUCCAUCCGUAACCACGGGGGAGAUCUAGGCCCAGAGCAGAGCCCACCACCAGAAGGCGGUUGGCAAACACCACCGUGGGGAUGCGGCCGCACUAGGGUGCGGCCACACCAAUGGUGGGCCCACCUGGCCACAGCCUUCUGGAGGAACGUGAGAAGCGGUUUCCUAAGGACGGUUCCACCUUCGAUCAACGCAGAUGGAAAGUGGAAACCGCCCUUGGAGAUCGGUUUUGAACCUUUCUAUGUAGGGAUCGCCCUUUUUGCAUAGAGCCCCUUCUAUUGGGCUAUAAAAGAGAGGGAGUGUUGAUGGUCCUUAAGUAUCAAAUUGAAUCAUCAAAUAAAUAAAGAAAAGGAUCCAAAUGCAACCAACAUCUAGACUUAGGGUUUUAUCUGACAGGAUUCCACAAGUUUUGGUGUUUGUCUAUGUCAGUAGGGGGUUAUCAGGAAAUAGGAAAGGCCCACACGUCGGGUUUACAUAGAGAUAUUAACGUGUGCGGCAAUUUUGUAUCAUCUAGAAAACUCCAGAAGCCACGGGAACGAACGGGAAGCCGAGCGGGCUCGGGGGCAGGGCGCCCGCCCUCCCACCUUAGGCGCCCGCCUUGCUACAGGAGCCAAUCAGGCUCCGUCUCACGGAUUAUGCUCCACCGCCUUUGAGGAUCAAGGAAAACCAUGCGAUUAAGGUCGGUUUGAUCCAACGGCCCACGUUCAUUUGAGGGGGCUAUAUAAGCAGGGCCUCUGGCUCUGGAGGAGACACCUCUUGAUCCCUAUUCAUUAUUCAUAGACAGAGCAAAAGCUAGGGUUUGGAGAUGAGAGCUCUCCUCUAUUCUCUAAACUAGAGUAGAUCUAGAUAGUAGCGAGAUGGAGAGUGAGGGAGGAUUGGAGGAGAGGCCGGCCUAUCGGUUCUUUCUCCGGUUGUACUUCGCCAUGAUCAAGCUCCAAUCAAGCUUGCUCAUGGGAUGACUCUGGUAAUCUACUUCUAUUUCAUUAUGCAAUUACUAUCCAUGUAUGUUCUGGUUCACAACUCUUUUGAGUACUUUUAAUCUAUAGGACCCUAUAGGUUAGAGUUGUAGUAUAGGUGUAAGCGUGGUGGUUAGACCUAGAUUACUUGUGGAUAUCCCCUGUUAGCCGGAUCGUGUGGUAGGCUGCGUAGGUGACAGCUACGUUGGUCCUCUGUAGUCCACCCCCCGUUAGCAGGACUAGUAGGGUUUAUCAGCCUAUAGAUAAGCAUCCUUUGUGGUGUAUUCUGUUGAUGCAAAAGCUAAUCUGCAAACGCAAAGGGCUAAUCUGCAAACGCAAAGGACUCGAAUUCCAAAUUAAACGGAAUCCGUAUACAAAACGAAUUUAAAUAUCUAUGGAAAACAUAAAACUAUCCUCCCGUGACAAACCGGGACACCACCAUAGAUCAAUCGGCAACCUUCAUGUUCUCCUUCCGAGUCAUCGGCACACUUCUCAUCAUAGCCAUCGGCAAAGACUAACGCUGACCAUCGGCACGAACGCGUCACCACUUCUGGACUUAGUCACAUUUAGCUGUCUCUUCAUCGGCAACCACCCUCAUCGGCAACUGCCCUGCAGACCAGUUACUGUUGCCCCAUCUUGCUGAUCUAUACUUUACCGAUCCCUGGGUACGUGUCCGAAAAUGGUGUCAACACAUGCCUCCCAAUUUCAGAGUAUAAAAUCAUUAAUGCUCCGAAAUUCUCUGCAGUAAUGAUGCCUUUCCACAUUUAAUUUCCUCAAUUUGGUAACCGACCGUUGAAGUCGAACAACCCUGGCCCGAUUCUUCCGCAGAUUCCUCGAAUUCCUCAACCUCCCAAACUGGACAUCUCCACUUUAUUCGUCCAUCGGCAAUAUUACCGUUAGAGGGAGCUGCCGAUGGACCGACCAGGAGGUCUUGCACAGUGAAAUAUCUCCAAAACCACGACCGCCUGCUGUAAAAUCACCUGUGCAAUCCCUUGAUUAUCGUGCGAACAGUUACCAUAUCCAUCUGAACACCCUCGGAUUUUACGGAUGCGACAAAGAGAUAAGUCAGAUUUGCCCCUGCCCAUUUUGUCCUAUAAAUACUUCCUUCUCGGGUACUCCUUCUCCAUCUUGUCAUUCUACAGCCCAAAACUUACUUUCACGGUGGCGCCACCCCCCGAGGUUUCCAAGAUCUCCAACGAAGGCCUUUCUCCACCAACCCCAAAGUCUUCAAUCAUCUUCCUCGCGAGGAAAUGGCCAUCAACUUCGCUGUUCCUCAGGUCAGUUCACCACCCCGUCUUUUGUACUUUUACCAUAUCCCUGUUCAUCUACAAUUUAUCUUACUGAACAUUCCUCUCCUUUUUCCUUUGUUCUUCUUUUUAUCCUUAAAAACUUCUUGGAUUUGUCCAAUAAGAUUGUUAUCCCUACCGAUCAACCACACCUCCAAUAUCUCAGCCAGCUAGGGAACCCAGAUCCCACCGAUCUGAUAAACGUAGAGAUAAACAGAAUUCCUUUUAGAGCCGAAAUUUUUUCUCUAGAUCUAUGGAAAGAUGCCUUCCGUUCCUGGCCCAGUCCUACCAAGGGAUGGAAGGAUUGGUUCUUGAGAGUCAGCCAUUCAAAUGAAGUUCAAUGGGGCGAGCGAAAACUGGACCAGUGCAUUAGGCUGUCUCUUGCCGAUAUGGAUAGGAAUGAAUCACUGUUGAUUGCUGCAUCAUAUUUCUAGUCAGUCACACUUAAUGCUUUUGUUUUCGGCCAUGGCCCUGCUUCUCCCACUCUAGCCGCUGUGCUUAUGCUCACCGGCUUAGAUGUAUCCACUGCUGAUAGUAGUCACAUAUUUGACUCCAAACCUAGUGCUAAGGUGGAAACUCGCUCUAUCGGCGGUUGGUCUUUGUACAUUCAGAAGUACCGUAGAACAGGGCCUGUCAACAUAAAGGAACAGACCACCUUCCUGAACAUGUGGCUGGACAAAUUUGUAUUCUGCGGUCGAUCGGCAGGACCAACCUCUGUCUACCAAUCGGCAGCAGAAAGAUUAGCUAAUGGUGGCCGAUUUCCCCUCGGCCGAUACCUGCUUGGCUCUGCCUAUUAUCUACUCCACCAAGUAGCCAAGAAACUUCUGAUCGGCGAACCCAUCGACAACUUACGGGGCCCUUGGUGGUUCAUCAACAUGUGGCUUAGCGUCCAUAUGCACAAACGCCUGGAAUUCGACCUCUUUGCACAGCGUUUCCCCAGGGAUAUAGCAGAGGAUCAUGAGUUAGAUGAAGAAGAAUCGGCAACCCGUCCCCCCCUAAACUAUGGUGAAGCUGUCAUAGUCUUGCCUGGUACUGGAGGCAAUGGAGAUCAAGUCAAUCGAUUCUUUCAGACUCUUUAUGAGGGUCUGACCAAAGAACAGCGAGCAUGGAUGCCUUGUGAAGAUCCAGACACCAGAUUUCCUCUGACUUUUCACCCCUUCGAUGAUGCUCUCAAUAAAGACCAUGAUGUCAUGAUGGCAAUUAUCACUCCAAGAGCCAUACCAGUAAACUUUUUCGGCAGUGGGAAAGCCUCCAACCAGACCUAUGAAUUCUACAACCCAUCGGCACUAGCCCGUCAACUAGCUUUCGGUCAGCUGCCAAUUGCACUUUGUUAUGCCGAUGUGAUAAAACCCAGGGAAACCAUUACUAGUCUUCUAGAGUGGACCAGAAUAGCUCAACUGCCGCCAAACGUCGAUACAGAUGCCGAUUUAUCAGAUUGGAUCCCAGCCCUCUUCAUCACUCAGGCAUACAAAAAAUAGUGGGAAGAAUGGAAAGAGCACCUGUUCUGCAGAUCGGCUCUUACAUACCGUGGCAUGAUUGACCCUCAAUACAAAGUCCACGAUAACAAUGUAAGUAUUUUUAAACCAAUGUUUCAAUCCUUCCACUUUUACUUCCAUCGGUAACUUACUUUCUGUGUUAUAUUACAGGUUGAUAACACACCCCCAUUGGUCAGCAGGAGUGGUAAGCCAAUUGAGCUCCUUCCAUCAGGUCCGAUUUCUUUGAUCAGCAACAACUCUCCAUCCCUGGCCGCUAUAAUGCAUCGGGGUGUACGUCUCAAGAAAGUCACCACCAAGCGGACGAAGACAUCCCCAUCAGUAGCUGCCUCCACCUUACCACAAGCCUUCAAGGUUAAUUUUUGAAUUCUUUUAUUCAUACCAAUCUCAUUCUUAUACCUAUCACACUUGUACUCACAAACUUCUUAUUAUUGUAUCAGCACACUAGUACAUCGGCAAAGACCAGAAGUAGUACUGCCGAUGCCCCCCAGUCCAGUCAACCGAAGAGAAAAGAUUCCAAGAGUACCAGAUUACAAGCAAAGCGUUAGAGAACAACAACGCCUUCUCCUCCCCCAGUGUCUCCAAUCCCAGUAGAAUCAUCCCCCUCUUCUCCAGAAAUCCAGACACAACAGAUUCCAUCUCCUCCUCAGUCACAAGAAGAACCCCAAGUGGAAGAGCUCCAGCCAGAGGUACCUCAGCCAGAAGAAAUACCAGCUGAUGUACACAAGCAGACCACCGAUCCAGCAAGCAUAAUCAUAGCAUCGUUAGUCUCCUCGAUCCAGACAAGCACUGCACCCCCUCAAGGUAAUAUACUCUCCAUUUACUACCGAUGAACCUGUUUUUCCACUUUAUUAAUCACUUCUGUCAAUCUUUCAGAUGUCAUAGUUUCAUUGGCAAUCUCAGCCGAUCAACCCAUGGUUCCAUCGGCGUCAUCCAGUCAGAGGCGAGAGAUGGCCCUAAAACAAGUAAGUUACCCAAUCUCUAUCUGUAUUGUUUAUCAGUGCUUGAUCAUAGAGUAACUUAUUUUAUUUUUCUUUUCAGGAACAAGACUCUCCUGAUAGCUUGUUCUCCUUUGCCAUCGACAUCUCUGAGGAUGAAGGCGAGGAGGCAAGUUCUUCUCGAGCUAUUGGAAUCUCAUCGGCAGAAAUCAGAGCAAAGUUAGAAGAAUUGUCGGCCCUCCUUCAUCAAGACACGGCCCAAUUGGUCGACGACUCCGAUUCAGCCAAGGCCUUGUUCAAGACUCUCAGAGGCCAAAUUCCUGCCGAUGCCGAAGAGAUUCUUUUCCAGGCUGCACAUUUAGAGAGUCGCCAGCUGCAAUACCAAAAGGCUGCUCAACGCCUUGCCGAUAGAGCUGCACACGCCCAGCUCUCAGAGGAGAUGAUGAAAGUGAAGCUCCUUGCCGAUGAGAAGCAUAAGAGCAUCGGCACUCUGAAGUCCUUAGGAGAUGUGCUAAAACAAAAAAUCUCUGAUCUAUCAGCGAAGAGAGACGCCCUGUUGGCAGAACUCAAACAGGUAGAAGAAGCUCUAUCUGAAGCCCAAUAGGAAGAAAGCCAGCUGCCUGAUAUGAUCAAGACCCUUGAACAAGAACGGAACACUCAUUCUCGUAAAGCACUACAAAUGAAGAAGAAGCUGAAACCGGUGGAAGGUUCUGCCGAUGAAGACAUCAAAGAAAUAGAAGAGGCCAACCAAAUCCGCCUGCGCGCUAUAUCGACGAUCUAGGCUUUGCUGAAUGUAUGAAUUCUCCAUCGGCAGUGUGUCCUGCUCUUUUCUUUUGAACACUCCUGAUUAUUUUGGUCUAGCCAAUAGGACUGUUAUCGGCACCCUUUUAAAACACUAAGUCCGGCCCCAGACACAGUUUAAUCCAGCCGAUAGGAAUGUUAUCGGCACUUAAACUUUUAUGCGUCGACCCAUAUGCUCGGGUAAUAUUUCUUUGAAUAUUUGCCAUUUAAUGCCCUGGGAAAUUCAACUCCUUCGAGAGUUUCUAAGAUAUAGGCGUUGCCAGGAGCAGAUCGAUUUAUUCGAUAGGGACCCUCCCAAUUGGGAGACCACUUCCCAAAUUUUGAACUUUUAGUCCCGAUCGGUAAAACUAGCUUCCAUACUAAGUCUCCAUCGGCAAACUCCUUAGCCUUUACCUUUUUAUCAUACCAUCUGGCAACUCUCUUCUUAUUCUCUUCUAUACUCAUCAAAGCCCUUAGCCGAUGCCCUGCUAGAUCAUCCAACUCGUCUGUCAUCAAAGUAGUAUAAUCAUCGGCAGUCAAUUGAUCUUGAAAAGAUAGUCGCCUAGACCCGGUCUUAAUUUCCCAAGGUAACACUGCGUCAUGUCCAUACACUAACUGAUAAGGUGAAACUUUGGUCGACCCAUGACAAGCCAUCCGAUAUGACCAUAAAGCUUCAUUCAACAACGUAUGCCACCUCCUAGGAUUUUCUUCAAUCUUUCGUUUAAUAAGUUUGAUAAUUCCUUUGUUAGAUGCUUCAGCCUGCCCAUUAGCUUGAGCAUAAUAAGGAGAAGAAUUUAAUACUUUAAUUCCCAUACCGAUUGCAAACUCAUCAAACUCCCCUGAUGUAAACAUAGUACCCUGAUCGGUAGUAAUUGUUUGAGGAAUUCCAAAUCGGUAAAUAAUAUGCUCCUUCACAAAAUCAAUCAUAUUGGCCGAUGUAACUUUCUUCAAAGGAAUAGCUUCACAUUUGGUGAAAUAAUCGGUGGCAACCAAGAUAAACUUAUGUCCUUUGCUGGAUGGCGGAUAAAUCUGGCCGAUCAAGUCAAUAGCCCAUCCUCGGAACGGCCAAGGUUUGAUGAUAGGAUUCAUGGCCGAUGCGGGUGCUCUUUGAACAUUGCCAAACUUCUGACAUCCUUGACACCCCUUGAAAUAUUUAAAGCAUUCUUUAAGUAUGGUUGGCCAAUAAUACCCAUUACUCCUAAUCAUCCACUUCAUCUUAAAAGCCGACUGAUGUGCUCCACAUACUCCUUCAUGGAUUUCUCCCAUUAAACUUUUAGCCUCAUCAUCACCUAAGCAUCUGAGAAGAAUCCCAUCAAUGGUUCGAUAAUAUAAUUCAUCUUCAAGGAGCACAUACUUGGUGGCUUGAAACCGAACACGUCUCUCAACUUUUUUGGAUGGAUCCUUCAAAUAAUCAAUGAUUUCUUUUCUCCAAUCAUCGACACUGAUUGCCGAUAUUGCGUUUAACAUGGGUUGAUAUCCCGAGGCAUGCUGAGCCAACCGAUUGGCCUCUUCAUUAUGCAACCAAGGAACAUUCUCUAAUCGGAAAUCCUUGAAUUCCCUCAACAGUUGCACACUCCUUUCGUAAUACGUUAUUAAUACCUCACUUCGGCAUUCAUAACUUCCAGCCAAUCGAUUUAUAACCAACAUAGAAUCUCCAAAGAUUUCAACAGCAUCAGCACGAACCUCUUUUAACAACUCCAACCCCUUAAUUAAAGCCUGAGAUUCAGCUUGAUUAUUUGUCGACGUGGCAACAAUCGGCAAGGAGAAUUCAUACUUCCUUCCCCGAGGGGAAAUUAACACUAUGCCGAUUCCUGCCCCCCGGUCACACGUGGAUCCAUCAAAGAAGAGCGUCCAAGGCACAAUUUCCAAAGUUUCCACUGCACCGCAAUGUUGAGUCACAAAAUCAGCCAUAACCUGUCCUUUAGCUGCCUUAGCUGAUUCGUAACGCAAAUCAAAUUCCGACAGUGCCAAAAUUCAUUUACCGAUUCUGCCACUCAUGAUCGGCAUAGAUAGCAUAUACCGGACCACAUCAUCUUUGCAUAUAACAGUGCAUUCAGCCGAUAACAAAUAGUGUCUCAACUUAAUACAUGAGAAAUGAAGACACAAACACAACUUUUCAAUGGCCGAUUACCUGGUCUCAGCAUCAACCAAUCUCCUGCUUAAAUAGUAAAUCACACGUACCUUCCCUUCAAAUUCUUGAAUUAAAGCCGAACCGAUGACCAUCCCAUCGGUAGACAAAUAUAACCUGAAGGGUUUUCCUUGCUGAAGUGGAAUCAGAACUGGAGGAUUUACCAAAUAAUUCUUGAUUUCAUCUAAAGCCAACUGUUGCUCCUUUCCCCAUACGAACUCUUGAUCGGCUUUCAAUCUGAGUAAAGGACUGAAAGCACGAAUUUUACCAGACAAGUUAGAUAUAAAUCUCCUCAUAAAAUUUACCUUGCCGAUCAAGGACUGGAGCUCAGUUUUGUUGGUAGGAGCAACUAUUUUAUUGAUAGCAUCAAUGGAUCUCCUACUAAUUUCAAUUCCUCUCUGAUGCACCAUGAAACCAAGGAAUUGUCCUGCCGAUAUGCCAAAGGCACACUUGUUAGGGUUCAUCUUCAACCAUGCUUCCUUGUGCACUCCAACACCUUUCGCAAAUCAGCAAGAUGUUUUGUGAAAUCUCCAGACUUAACCACCACAUCAUCAAUAUAAAUUUCCACCAGCUUGCCGAUGAACUCAUGAAAGAUAAAAUUCAUAGCCCUCUGAUAAGUAGCACCAGCAUUUUUCAAGCCAAAGGUCAUGACUAUCCAUUCGAACAACCCAACAUGACCAGGACAUCUAAAUGCAGUCUUUGGAAUAUCUUCUUCAGCCAUGAAUAUUUGAUUGUACCCUGCAUUGCCAUCCAUAAAACUGAUGAUCCGAUGCCCAGCUACAGCAUCAACUAGCAGAUCGGCAACUCGCAUUGGGUAACCAUCAAUCGGUGUAGUUUUAUUAAGAUUCCUGAAAUCAAUGCAAACCAGAAGCUUUCCAAUUUUCUUGUAAACUGGAACAACAUUGGAAAUCCACUUGGCAUACCGACACUGCCGAAUAAAUUUAGCUUCAAUAAGUUUGGUUAUUUCUGCCUUGAUAUCAGGAAGAAUAUUAGGAUUACAUCGGCGAGCUGGCUGUUGAUGUGGCCGAAAUCCAGACUUGAUAGGCAACCGAUGUUCAACAAUCAAUCGGUCCAAACCAGGCAUCUCAGUGUAAUCCCAAGCAAAGCAAUCUUUAUAUUCCUUUAACAAAUUGGUUAACUCCUGCUUACACUCAGAAUUUAACUUAGCACUAAUAAAAGUAGGUCUAGGCUUAUCACCACUACCUAUAUCUACUUCUACCACAUCAUCAGCCGAUGUGAAACCUUAGCCUAAUUUUCCAUCAUCGGCGAACCUAUCCAUCAAAAACCCUCAUCAGAACCGACUGCUUGGAUCAGUGGAAUUUCGUAAUCGGCAACUUUGAGGAAAUCCUUCUCCCAAAUCUCUCCCGACAUACACCUAGUUCUAUCAUAGGUAUCUGUUUAUGCCGAUGCAAUGACAUAAGAAGAAUCUCCUGGGACAAUCUCAAUAUUGUCACCUACCCACUGGACCAAACAUUGGUGCAUUGUUGAUGGAAUGCAACAAUUGGCAUGAAUCCAGUCUCUCCCUACCAGCAGAUUAUAAGCCCCUUUUCCACUGAUCACAAAGAAAAUUGUCGGCAAGGUUUUGCUGCCGAUGGUCAACUCGAUACAGAUUGCUCCCUUAACCGGAGAUACAUUUCCCUCGAAGUCCUUUAGCAUCAUAUCGGUCUUGGUCAAAUCUUGGUCCCCUUUUCCAAGCUUCUGAUAUACUGCAUAUGGCAUGAUGUUGAUAGCAGCUCCACCAUCAAUUAAUAUUUUGGUCAUUGGCUAACCAUCAACCCUUCCUUUGACAAACAAAGCUUUAAGAUGCUGCCUUUCAUUGUCCGUAGGCUUUUCGAAGAUAGCUGUCAUCGGAUCCAGAGCCAACUGAGCUAUCUGGUUGGAAAAAUCCAACUCCUCAUCAUCGCUGGACGGCGCAAGGAAUUCCAUCGGCAACAUAAAUACCAUGUUAACUUCUGCCGAUGGCCCUUUCACCUUAGGAUCUGAUUGCUGCUGAUCCCCAGAUUGGCCAGAGUUCACCCCCUUGCUUAGCUUUUCUCGUCUUUCGCGCUGCAGCCUCCUCUUAUGUGUUUUAGUCAACCCCUCUGGACACCAUGGGGGAAGUGGUGACUGCCUUGCCGAUGGAUGACGAUGUUCCCUUGACUCCACCCGAUGAGUAUUGGCAUCUCUGCAAAAUAUGAACUCAUCCGGAACACGCGCAUUAGCCAUCUCUUUAAGCUCUUCCUGAUUCCUAGGAAAAUAUUCAACACGAUCACCAAGCCUAUCAUGCACACUGAGUUAACCCCCCAAGCCGAUCAUGAAUCGAUGCUCUCCCCCUAAUCAGCCCAUUAAACCGCCGAUUAUCAUCGUGAUAGCCCCGAUCGGAUCUGUCAUACCGAUCGUAACCAUUACACUUAGGGCAAUCUCUAACAGUGGGCAACUUGAUUUUUGCUCCCAACAAUCGAUAAAGAAUGGACAAUUCCAGUGAUCUCUAUGCCGAUUCCACUCUUGUCGGCGUCUUUCUUCUUCCGGACGACAGUCAUCUUGCUGGCGCCGAAACCGAUCCUUGCGUUGCUGCCAAGUCUCCCGAGGCCUUCUGUGAGUUAUCACAACACCAGAUCGGGGAUGCCUUCUGUUGACGGUCCUUAAGUAUCAAAUUUAAUUAUCAAAUAAACAAAAAAAGGAUCCAAAUGAAAUCAACAUCUAGACUUUGGGUUUUAUCUGACAGAAUUCCACGAGUUUUGGUGUUUGUCUAUUUCUGCAGGGGGUUAUCAGGAAAUACGGAAGAAAGGCCCACACGUCGGGAUUACAUAGAGAUAUUAACGUGCCGCGCAAUUAUCUUACAUCUAGAAGACUCCAGAAGCCACGGGAAGGAAGCGGAGGCCGAACGGGGCCAGAGGCAGGGCGCCCGCCCUCCUGCCCUGGGCGCCCGCCCUGACUUGGAGCCCAAUCAAGACUCCUUCUCUCGGGAGAUCUCCACCGACCUAAAGGAUCAAGAAUAACCGUUCUAUCAAUGUCGGUUUGAUCUGACGGCCCAGGUUCACUUGAGGGGACUAUAUAACCAGAUCCCCUGGCCCCUGGAGGAGGCACCCCUUGAUCAUUAUUCAUUAUUCAUAGACAGAGCAAAAGCUAGGGUUUAGAGAUGAGAGCUCUCCUCUCUUCUCUAAACUAGAGUAGAUCUAGAUAGUAGCGAGAUGGAGAGUGAAGGAGGAUUAGAGGAGAGGCCGGCCUGUCGGUUCUUCCUUCGGUUGUACUUCGUCAUGAUCAAGCUCUAAUCAAGCUUGCUCAUGGGAUGACUCUGGCAAUUUACUUCUAAUUCGUUAUGCAAUUACUAAUCAUGUAUGUUCUGGUUCACAACUCUUUUGAGUACUUCUAAUCUAUAGGACGCUAUAGGUUAGAGUUAUAGUAUAGGUGUAAGCGUGGUGCUUAGACCUAGAUUACUUGUGGAUAUCCCCUGUCUAGCUGGAUCGUGUGGUAGGCCGCGUAGGUGACAGUUACGUUGGUCCUCUGUAGUCCAGCUCUCGUUAGCAGGACGGGUAGGGUUUAUCGGCCCAAGGAUAAGCAUCCUUUGUGGUGUACUCUUAUCACGUGGUUCGUCCCAGACAUAGACAUACCCCUUUGAAGUAGAGAAACCAUAGUUAUCCACUCUAUUCUGCUACCAUCGCCCAUAUACUAGAUUGCUCUACUCUCUAUUCCCAUAUUAUCACUCACUGUUAUCUUACCUUUAAUAUUGUUCUUAUUCAAUUCUACCAUCUUUCCUAUUCACACCUAUCUAUCUAUCUUGGUUAAGUUAGAGCGUAGUUGGUUCUCCCGUUUCCCUGUGGAUACGAUAAAACCUUUAACCGUGUAAAAGCUUCAACGGUAUCCGUGCACUUGCGGAUUAUCUGUGUGUGUAUAAAUACCAUAGUACACUCUAGUGCCAUGCUGGGGAUGACAACCUAGUAUUCAAGUGGUGUUAGCAAGUGUCAACAAGCAUUUUUGGCGCCGUUGCUGGGGAAACGGUUGCUGAGUUGACUACGAACUAUCUUAAUCAUUUUCUAAGAAACAUAAUAAAAAAAAUAUUUUCCUUUUAUCCUUUGCCUCAUCUCUGCUAAUCUUUCUUCUUAUCUAAUCCUUGAUCUCUGGUCUAUCAUGAAUUCAAACAUGUCUAUCUAUGAAUUUCCUAGACCUACAGGCACACAUCUCGAACCACCAAAAUCUUCAAAGCCUAUCAUAGCAUCUAGUUUUGAGAUAGACCCCGAAUACAUAGAAUUUGUUCAAAAACAACCUUUCUCAGGAGAAGGUGAGGAAAACCCAUACACACACCUAAGAGAGUUUUAUCGAGUCUGUGACCUCCUUUGCAUAGAAGGCAUGUCCGAUGAGACCCUUAAAUGGAAGCUCUUUCCGUUCUCUUUAAUAGGAAAAGCUAGACAUUGGUAUAAACUCAAAGUAGGGAGUGUUCAUGGAGAUUGGAAGGAGUUACAUAAUAGUUUUCUUUUAAAAUAUUUUCCAAUCUCCAAAGUGGUGGAACUUCGGCGUGAGAUUCUUUCUUUUAGACAACUGGAAGAAGAAUCUCUUGGCAAAUCAUGGGACCGCUUUAUUGACCUUACUCUCACUGGCCCAAAGCUUUCUAUUCCAGAAGAAGUUCUUCUAAUUCAUUUUUUUGAGGGCCUUAGUGGGGAAAAUAAGCAAACCUUGAAUAUAGCCUCUAGAGGAUCCUUCUAUCACCUACCUGCUAGUGAAGCUUGGAAUUUGAUUGAUUUAUUAAGUGGACAGUCUCCUAGCUUUUAUAUCCCUGAGAAAGAGACAGAACCAGUUCCUAGACAAGAAGAAGAAGUUUCGAUAGCUAGAUCACAACCACUUCAAUUCCAAACUUUAGCUAUCGAUCCUAAACCAUCAAUACCCAAAAAUUCUCCAAGGGAGGAAGGAAUUCCGACCAUAAAUCUUUCAGAUGCUGAUGGUUUAGACUUCUGGUUCCAUAAGAGACCUUCAAUCAGGGAUAAUUCAAAUCCUCGCAAUAAUGGUUCUCUUAGAGAAUGUCCUGGUUCCUGUUAUGAAGAAGUCGAGGAUGACAUAUCAAGUGAAGGAGAGCUAAGCCAUAUUAAAAAUUCUAACACCUCCCCUUUCCUGAUCACAAGUUCUAAAUGGCUAGAAUGUCUAGAAUGGAUGGAUAAGGAAGAAGCCUUAAUGAAUUCUGACUUUGGUUCAAUUUCAAAUGGUGACUUCUUGACUCCCUUUGAAGAUGGGAUUCAUGCAACUAUAGAAGAGGACAUAGGUGAGACCAAUCCAAGAGAAACUCUGAACAUUCAGAUUGGAGACGAAGAUAACAUUAAUGAGCAUGGAAUUUAUUUCAUAGCCACUUUGUUUACUCCAUGCUCAUAUGCAACAUCUUCCCAAUCUAUUGGUCUCUCCAACAUCACCACACUUGAGAUCUCCAACCCCCUCUUCCUUUCUAUUUAUAAAAACUUUAAAAGGGCGGUUGUCGAUGCAUAUGUCUAUAAUAAAUAUUGCAGAUCUCAUUGAGUUGAUCUUGAUUUAGGUCAGCGUUGGAAGGGAAACCACUUCGCCGACAUAAAUUGAUGGUUUCCCAAAGACAAGCUUAGUGUCCUAAAAUAAGCACUGAUCAAAUCGUAACAUGAGCUUUUAAUUAUUUAUAACAUUACCUCAUGUAUUGAGCAUAUAAGGAUAAUUGUAAAAAUAUUCCUUCGGGUAUUCUUGUCACUAACCUUUACAGGAUUGGAGCAAGAAGAUCGGAUGAAUGACAAGCACAAGGUAUGUCCAACCAAUCAUCAUACAACAUUGAUAUAUUUUUUGUCGGACUAACCCCUGUAGAAAAAAAACUUUCAACAUCGAUUUGGGAAGUCCUGAGAUAAACUCACAUUAGAGACGAAGAGAGUGACACAUGAAGUUUAACAAUUUGCACAAGAAGGACAUAGCUCAUUCAUCAUAGAGAGAUGAUCCAUGGAGGGUGCCACAAACACGAUGCACAACCGCUAAGAAAGGAAAGCUUCUACAAGGUGACACUGUACCAUCACUCUUUAAGCAAGGUAACAUCUUAAGGUACUUGACUAUCACUUUUAUAAGCUUCUCCUUGGUUCUGGCGUUCAGAUAAAUAAAAGAGACAAACAUGUAUGAAUUACAACUCUAGAUUAACCAACCCAACUGAUUCAACAUGUUUAGUCCUUUAAUCCUUGUUCUUAGUACUACCUCCAUGAUCCCACACUCCUAAUCAUAUGAGCUAAAAUGUUACACAUUCAAUCAUUGAGAGAUAUAAAGAAAAAGACAUAUACAUAGAUAGAUUAUCUUUCCAUAAGGUUGAGCGAUCUGAUCUGACAAAUGUUAUAAGUGCUACACUCAUGAACCUUUCAUCCAUCAACUUUGUCUUGCUCACUAUGCUUAGGGUUAGAGAAGAACAAAUACACUUUAGGUUCUGUUGGUGUUUUCCACCAACAGGACCCAUGCACUUGAUCUCUGCCUUGUCUCUAUGAGCAGGUACACUUCGAGCAAAACACGGAGGAGUUUUAUAACUCUCAGACUCUACCAAGUGAAGGACCUGGAUCUACGAGCACAAACACACUGAGCAGGAUACUACCAACGCCACUGCUGGGCAAAUGAAGAGGUGCAGACGUCAAGGUCCGCACCUGAAUCAAAUGACGCACCUAAAGAAUGAACCCGGUGAGAAGUCUUAUUAAGGAGACUUAAAACAUUGAACCCUCGCCGAAAGAAUUUAAGAAUCAAGAAGACUAGCAGACGGAGGACAUUCUAAUCGCUGUCAAAAUGCUGCUGACUUUCAAAUACACCUCUGCCACCUGCUAGCUACAUCAAGAGAAAUUACAUCAAAAUUCAGCUUGGGGGAGAGCACCCCCAUUUAUCUCGCUAAGUAUUUUUACCUAUCUUUAUACUUAUAUUAUAUUAGAAUAUUAAAAUACAUAAACUAUGAAAAACCAAAUAAAGAUUUUGUGCUUAUAUAUAUAUAUAUCUUUGGCUUAGUGUGUUUAAUAAAUAAAUAAAGUGGCUAUGCUAAACUGAAUCUUAAUAAUAAAACUCUAGCAUGGAUAUGAUGAAUAGUUGCUCUGCCUAAUUUGCAAAUUUGAAGUUCUCUCUCAAGUUUAGACAUAACUGUUAUAAUUUAAAGCUUGCUCUAGAUCUAAACUUGUGGGAUGAAAACUUGAUCUGAAAUCUAAGUUGUUAACGGAUAUGAUAUGGGAAGGUUGAGCUGUUGUUUAUCUGUUCCUAGAGAUGCUAGAAUUCUAGAGAAUUUUAUCUUUGAAAAAUCUUUAAAAUAUUGCAUGAUGAGUUCCUGUAUGAUGAAAGUUUAAAUUCCUACCACAGCCAUAUAUACAUGCUUGCUAGACUUCGAGCCACAAAUUUAUUAUUUACUGCUUAUGAGCAUUGAGUGUGGUCAAGCUGUGUAGACCCUUAGGAGCUUGUCAUGUGGUUAAAUCAAGAUUCACUUGCACAUUCACUGAUAUAUGCUACUUCUACUCCGGAAGUACCAUCCACAUAUAUCCAUCCAUGUCCAUCUCCAGAACAACCCAAAAAUAUUCUACUCCUAAUCUGGGAGAGAAUAGCCAAAAAUAUUUCUGUUUUUCCUUGUGAAAUAAAUGCUCAAGUUAUCUUGCUACUACCACUUGCUAUAUUAUCUCAAGAGAUGAGUGCUCUGAAAAGAAAAAAAAAGAAAAGAGAAAAAAAUGAGGAAAUAAAAAGGGGCAAGUGCCCGGAACCUCGAAAGAAAGAAAAAGUGAGACGAGAGGUAAAAAUGGACAAGUGUCCGACAGUAGAAUUAGGGGUACAAGAUACCCACCUGAGAGGAAAGAAAAAGAAGAGCAUCUCAUUCUCCUCAUAAAUUUUCAAAAAGCAAGGAAGGUAUGUAUCCCCUCAAAAGAGCAAAAGUAGAAUUAGACUUUCACCAUUGUUAUCACCAUCAUCACCAUACACCAUUCAUUCGCCACACAUGCACAUCUUGAUUUGGCUUAUUGAUUUGUUUCUUUGGAUCCAUGGUUUGACUAUGCAAUAAAUGUCUUGUAAGUAUGUAUUAGCUGUCUCCCAACUAUGAGCUCCAGAUAUCAAAACCUUGUUAGAGUAGGGUGAGAGAGAAGGCAAUAUCAUUAUGCCUCAUACCAAAAAUACCACAUAUCUUGAGAGAAGGCAUAUACCAUUGUUGACGGUCCUUAAGUAUCAAAUUUAAUUAUCAAAUAAAUAAAGAAAAGGAUCCAAAUGAAAUCAAGAUCUAGACUUAGGGUUUUAUCUGACAGAAUUCCACGAGUUUUGGUGUUAGUCUAUUUCUGCAAGGGGUUAUCAGGAAAUAUGGAACAAAGGCCCACAUGUCAGGAUUACGUAAAGAUAUUAACGUGCUGCACAAUUAUCUUACAUCUAGAAGACUCCAGAAGCCACGAGACCGAAGCGGAGGCGAAACGGGGCCAGAGGCAGGGCGCCCGCCCUGUCCUACUGGGCGCCCGCCCCCUGUUGGAGUCCAAACAGGACUCUGCUUUGCGGGAAGUCUCCACCGACCUAAAGGAUGAAUCUAAACCAUACAAUCUAUGUCGGUUUGAUCCAAGGGCCCAUAUUCACUUGAAGGGACUAUAAAACCAGACCCCCUGGCCCCUGGAGGAGAGAGCCUCUCAACCCUAAUUCAUUGUUCCAUCAAGGGAGAAGAAGCCUCUGAUCAAGAUUAGAGCCACCACAUCAAUUAGAUAUCUAGAUUAGCAUAGCUACAUAGAAUUAGAACUAGAAGGAGUCAAUCUUCGAUUGGUUUCCGGAUCUGUCAGGAGGAUUCUUGGUAAUUCUCUAAUUGUGCUUCUAAUUACUUUCUAAUUAUCUUUGUUCUUCAAUAUUAUGAAUAUGACUUUGUUCUAUUUCAAUAUAUUGCUUAUGACUUUGCUCUACUUGCUUAUAUUCAAGAUUAUAUUGUUCUUAGUUUAUCAUAGUUAUGUACUUGGCUUAGUUAGAUACGAUCUAUAUACAUGCUUAGGAUCGUAUAGCGUUUAUCCAUCGGAUCCAUGGGUAAAUGAUAGAUAUUGUGUAGGCGUGGUGCUUAUACCAUAUUUAUCUGCGAUUGUACCCAAUAUGCCAGAUCGUGGGGUAGUUUGUGAUAGUGACAGCUUCAUUGAUUCUUAUAUAGUCCCCCUCUCGUGUAUUGGGCUGGCAGAGCAACAUUAUUAUAGGGGAGUGAUUGCUAUGUUUCUCAUAUUCCUUGCUAAUAUCACUAUGCAUGGGCGUAGUCUUGUCUCGCAAUGAUUGCUAAGUAUGCUUGCACUAACUAUGAUAUGCUAGACUAUAUAGUUGAGAAUAACUUAGGGAAUAUUCUUGUAGUUCGUUCUAAUACCAUGCUAAUGACUUUCUAGAGUAUCUAAUUGAGGUGCUUAUCAUAUUUAUUAUGUGGCUAGAUCAGAUUAGUUAUCCUUAUCACUAUUAUUAUUUUAUAUAUCUUUUAUGUGACACUUAUCCCUGUAUGAUGAGUUAGAUAUAAUGUUCUCAAUUAUACAUGCAAUGAUAGAUGCUCAAUCUCAUAUUCUAUUCUGUAAUCAAUAGUGAUGAUUGCUAAUCCCUUCCCAGUGGUAAAAAUAUAAAUAACGAUACCUGGAAUACUUCCCGGUUAAAAUGUUGCAUCGGUAUUAAUCUGUGCGCUUGCAGAUCCCAUUCAUUAUUUAUUUAGAAGAGCAAUUGCAUAUUUCAAUACCGCGUCUCUUAUAUCAUGCUGGGGAUGACAACUUGGCUUAAGUGGUGUAAGGGAUAGGUUUGGCAUUUUUGGCACCGUUGCUAGAUUUAGAACUUAGUCUACUUUUAGUAAUGAUGUUAAGAAUACCCAACAAGCAUUUUUGGCGCCGUUGCCGGAGAAGGUUGAUUACCAAUCAGGAAUGGAAUAAAAGAUUUUGAGUUAUCAUUCGCAUCACUAAUAUGAUUGAGCUUAUCUAUUCUCUCAUACAGUUUUACCCUGAUAUUUUUCUAUUUUAUCUUAUGCAGGGGAAUGUAUGAAUAGAAGACAUCUUCCAGGAAAUUUUGUUGACAAUCCCGAAGCAUUAUUCAAGAAGACGAGAGCCAAGCUAAAGAAAUCAUCAACACUUCACGAAGAAGCUUCAUCCAAUCAAGAAGAUCACCGGAACUUGUCUUCAGAGUUCGAAGCCAUGGCGAACAAAUCGAUCCGUGAGUUCUCAGCUCCCACUACGGACAACAUCCGCACUGGACUUGCUGCAGAGAUCGAUGGCAACUUUGAGCUCAAGCCUGGACUUAUCAACAUGGUGCCAUCCAACCAGUUCUGUGGGAAGGCACACGAAGAUGCUAGUGCUCAUUUACAACACUUCCUGGAGAUUUGCAACACAUUCACCAUAGCAGGAGUUUCCAAAGACGCUAUACUACUUCGCCUCUUUCCUUUCUCACUAUUAGGAAGAGCGAAGCAGUGGUUCUAUGCUACAAAGGAGAAGAAUACUACGUGGGCACUCUGCUCAACAAACUUCCUGGCUAAGUCCUUUCCCAUGGGCAAGACCAAUGCUCUCCGUGGGAAGAUUACAAGUUUUCAGCAACAAAAUGAUGAAUCUGUUCCAGAAGCAUGGGAGCGCUUUCAAGACUACAUCCUAGAAUGUCCCCAUCAUGGAAUGGAGAGUUGGCUAUUGAUGCAGACAUUCUAUCAUGGGCUCAGCAACAGUGCCCGAGAGACUAUGGAUGCUGCAGCUGGAGGAGCAUUCGUAUCACUUACUAUAUCACAAGCCACAGCUCUUGUGGAGAAGAUGGCAUCCAACCAAAGCUGGAAUGAAGAGAGGACCCAGACACGCAAGAGAGGUGGAGGUAUGCAUCAGCUGAAGGAGGUAGACAUGCUGUCUGCAAAGCUAGACCUGCUCAUGAAGAAGCUCGACGAUAGAGCUGGAGACAAAAAAGAAGUUAUGCACAUCUACGACUCUCACAUGACUUGUGAGGAGUGUGGAGACACUGGACACUCAGGCAACCACUGCCCUGAGAUACUUGAGGAUGUGAACUACAACAACAACAACAACUACUACAACCGUCCUCAACAAAAUCAAGGUUGGAAUCAACAGAGGCCUAACUACUCAGGUAAUUAUCAAGGUAACAAUUCUUACAACAACAAUAAUAAUUUUCCACCUUUGAGAGAGUUAGUGUCUAAUCAAGGCAAGCUAAUGGAUAACCUAUCUAAGAAAUUGGCAUCUAAUGAUAAAAUGCUAGAAAAUAUAAGUAAUAGAAUGGAUAAUUUUUCUACUGCCAUCAAGAAUCAAAUUAGCUUUAAUAAAAUGAUUGAAUCUCAGUUAAAUCAAAUAGCUGCUGCUGUUCCUACUACUAACCCCGGUAUACCAUCACAACCGGAAGGAUUAGAAUCUGCAAAUCUUGUAGACGUGUUUGAUGCAGGUAAUUGGAGUAACCCCAUCACUGAAUUCUCUACUGACCUUCUGCCGGUCAAGAGAGGCGAUCCAGGACGCCCCGUCAUCCCGAUCUCCAUCAGCAUGGUGGACUUCCCAGAAGCACUCUGUGACUUUGGCUCUAGCGUCAACAUUAUACCCAGGGUACUCUAUGAAAAAUUCUUUACAUAUCCUUUAUUAGAGACAACCAUGUGUUUGCAGUUUGCAGAUCAGACGAUAACUUUUCCAAAAGGAAUAGUGAGGAACCUUUGUGUCCGAGUUGGUACCUUGUAUGCACCAGCAGACUUCGUAGUGGUAGAGACCGGAAAUGAUGAGAGAGCACCUAUCAUCUUAGGGAGGCCAUUCUUGAACACCACGGGAGCUAUCAUCUACGCCAGUGCUGCCAAGAUCAGUUUCUACGUCAAAGGGAAGAAGGAGACAUUUUUCUUCAAGAACAAGACUACACAAAUUCAAGAUCAAUCCAGACGUAAAUCAAGGAAGAGGACCAACAGGAGGAACAGGAACAAGCAAGUGUGGACCGAGUCAGCUAAGAUGGUCACUGUAGUCCAUGGAGGCCAAGAUCACCAACUGAAGUCACCGUUUUUGACCAAGAAGGACGACCCAGGAAUGCCAAGCAUUUACUGCUCCAUAAAUGGAUACAACUUCUACAAGACGAAUUGCGACACCGGAUCAGGUGUCAACAUAAUGGCCGCAGUCACUUAUCGGCUCUUGUUCAGGACCAUGCCACUAAGACCAACAUACAUUCAGCUCCAGAUGGCAGAUCAGACAUUUCGAGAAGUUCAAGGAAUAGUAUCUGAUGUCCCAGUCAAAAUAGACGAUCACUUUGUCUACACAGACUUUCAAGUUGUUGAUAUGGGAGAAGACGAGUAUGAUCCACCCGUCAUCCUUGGAAGACCGUUCCUCAGCACCGUUAAAGCGAUUAUCUACAUUGGAACCGGAGAAGUCCAUAUGCACUUCCCCUCAGAGAAGGUACGCCGUUAUUUUACUGACCCUAACUAUAUCGUUGAAGAAUCUAAGCAGGUCAGAAAGAGACGCAACCGCAACCAGAGAAGGCAGAUCAUCAAGGACGGAUGGGAAGACUAUGAAGGAGAAGUUGUAAGGUCAGAAGACGUAGAGUUUAAACAGAAUUAUCUAGAGGAGAUUGAAGCACCGAGUCAGGUAUGGAAAAUGAAGAUAACUAUAUAAGAAGAGGAGGCACUGCCGGAAGUACCGACUACGCCACCCAGCGAACCUCAGGACAAUUAAGAAAACGGAGAGUCCCGUUCGGAGGACUUAAAAACACCGAACGCCUUGCCAAGAGGUAAACUUGGUAGUUACUCUUUCCCUUUCAGUUAUUUCAAAUAGUUUAUUUAGUUAAACAUGUUCAUGCUGUCUUAAAAAGAAAAUAAAAAUAUGAAAAACAGUAAGCCCCAUGUGAGUAGACGAGUGGUAUAAAAACCAUAAGUACAUUCACUGUGGAGGCAUAAAAAUAAAAAUAAAUAUUUUUCUGUUUUAUAAAAUAAAAAAAAAUAUAAAAACAGGGAGUAAUAUUUAUCAAGGAGUCUCAAAAUAAUAAAGGCUAGAUAUUUAUGCUAACACUUAAUCAGUUCCACAAGCUUUGUUGUCUAUUUGAGCUCCACAGAAUUUAAGAAUCAAGAAGACUAGCAGACACAGGACAUUCUAAUCGCUGUCAGAAUGCUGCUGACUUUCAAUUACACCUCUGCCACCUGCUAGCUACAUCAAGAGAAAUUACGUCAAAAUUCAGCUUGGGGGAGAGCACCCCCAUUUAUCCCGAUAAGUAUUUCUAUCUAUCUUUAUACUUAUACUAUUUUAGAAUAUUAAUACACAUAAACUAUGGGAAAACCGAAUAAAGAUUUUAUGCUUAUAUAUAUAUGUCUUUUGCUUAGUGUGUUUAAUAAAUAAAUAAAGUGGCUAUGCUAAUCUGUAUCUAAAUAAAACUUAAGCAUGGAUAUGAUAAAUAGUUGCUCUGCCUAAUUUGCAAAUUUUAAGUUCUCUCUCAAGUUUAGAUAUAACUGUUAUAAUUUAAAGCUUGCUCUAGACCUAAACUUGUGGGAUGAAAACUUGAUCUGAAGUCUAAGUUGUUAACGGAUAUGAUAUGGGAAGGUUGAGCUGCUGCUUAUCUGUUCCUAGAGAUGCUAGAAUUCUGGAGAAUUUUAUCUUUGAAAAUCUUUAAAAUGUUGCAUGAUGAGUUUCUGUAUGAUGAGAGCUUAAAUUCCUACCACAGCCAUAUAUACAUGCUUGCUAGACUUUGAGCCACACAUUUACUAUUUACUGCUUAUGAGCAUUGAGUAUGGUCAAGCUGUGUAGACCCUUAGGAGCUUGUCAUGUGGUUAAAUCAAGAUUUCACUUGCACGUUCGCUCAUAUAUGCUACUUCUACUCCGGAAGUACCAUCCACAUAUAUCCACCCAUUCCAUCUCCAGAAUCACCCAAAAAUAUUCUACUCCUAAUCCGGGAGAGAAUAACCAAAAAUAUUUUCUGUUUUCCCUUGUGAAAUAAAUGCUCAAGUUAUCUUGUUACUACCACUUGCUAUAUUAUCUCAAGAGAUGAGUGCUCUAAAAAAAGGAAUAAUACGAGGAAAUAAAAAGGAGCAAGUGCUCGGAACCUCGAAAGAAAAGAAAAAGUGAGACGAGAGGUAAAAAUGGACAAGUGUCCGACAGUAGAAUUAGGGGUGCAAGAUACCCACCUGAGAGAAAAGAAAAAGAAGAGCAUCUCAUUCUCCUCAUAAAGUUUCAAAAAGCAAGGAAGGUAUGUAUCCCCUCAAAAGAGCAAUGUAGAAUUAGACUUCCACCACCAUUGUUAUCACCAUCAUCACCAUACACCAUUCAUUCGCCACACAUGCACAUCUUGAUUAAACUUAUUGGCUUGUUUCUUUGGAUCCAUGGUUUGACUAUGCAAUAAAUGUCUUGUAAGUAUGUAUACUUUAUCUCCCACCUAUGAGCUUCAGAUAUUAAAGCCUUAUUAGAGUAGGGUGAGAGAGAAGGCAAUGUCACUAUGCCUCAUACCACAAAUACCACAUAUCUUGAGAGAAGGCAUAUACCAUCAAUGCCUUGGUAAGGAUCCAAAAAUACCACAAAAGAGAGACCUGAGAGAAUCAUACAAGGAAUUUCUGAGUUUUAUUUGAAAAUCUGCAAAAAUCCCAGAGCUAUAGCUGAUCAAGAAUAAGAGACAUGGCACUUGGCUAGUCUGUUCUAUCUUUUAACCACUCAAGACAGAAGUGACAGUUACAAGUCCCAUGGUGUAGGUAAAGUAAGUAAGUUUUAAGUCUUGACAGUUUACUCUAACUCAGAGAUAAGAUCUUAUUUAAAAGCAUGUGUACCGUCAAAUUUUUAAAGAUAUUGCAGCAACUUCUGAUCCAUAGCUGAGUCUAUCCUUGCUCAGGGACGAGCAAGAGGUAAGCUUAGGGGAGUUUGUUGACGGUUCUUAAGUAUCAAAUUUAAUUAUCAAAUAAAUAAAGAAAAGGAUCCAAAUGAAAUCAACAUCUGGACUUAGGGUUUUAUCUGACAGAAUUCCACGAGUUUUGGUGUUUGUCUAUUUCUGCAGGGGGUUAUCAGGAAAUACGGAAGAAAGGCCCACACGUCGGGAUUACAUAGAGAUAUUAACGUGCCGCGCAAUUAUCUUACAUCUAGAAGACUCCAGAAGCCACGGGAAGGAAGCGGAGGCCGAACAGGGCUAGAGGCAGGGCGCCCGCCCUCCUGCCCUGGGCGUCCGCCCUGACUUGGAGCCCAAUCAGGACUCUUUCUCUCGGGAGAUCUCCACCGACCUAAAGGAUCAAGAAUAACCGUUCAAUCAAUGUCGGUUUGAUCCGACGGCCCAGGUUCACUUGAGGGGACUAUAUAACCAGACCCCCUGGCCCCUGGAGGAGGCACCCCUUGAUCAUUAUUCAUUAUUCAUAGACAGAGCAAAAGCUAGGGUUUAGAGAUGAGAGCUCUCCUCUCUUCUCUAAACUAGAGUAGAUCUAGAUAGUAGCGAGAUGGAGAGCGAAGGAGGAUUAGAGGAGGCGCCGGCAUGUCGGUUCUUCCUCCGGUUGUAUUUCGUCAUGAUCAAGCUCUAAUCAAGCUUGCUCAUGGGAUGACUCUGGUAAUUUACUUCUAAUUCAUUAUGCAAUUACUAAUCAUGUAUGUUCUGGUUCACAACUCUUUUGAGUACUUCUAAUCUAUAGGACGCUAUAGGUUAGAGUUGUAGAAUAGGUGUAAGCGUGGUGCUUAGACCUAGAUUACUUGUGGAUAUCCCCUGUCUAGCUGGAUCGUGUGGUAGCCCGCGUAGGUGACAGUUACGUUGGUCCUCUGUAGUCCACCUGUCGUUAGCAGGAUGGGUAGGGUUUAUUGGCCUAAGGAUAAGCAUCCUUUGUGGUGUACUCUUGUCACGUGGUUCGUGCCAGACAUAGACAUACCCCUUUGAAGUAGAGAACCCAUAGUUAUCCUCUCUAUUCUGCUACCAUCGCCCAUAUACUAGAUUGCUCUACUCUCUAUUCCCAUAUUAUCACUCACUGUUAUCUUACCUUUAAUAUUGUUCUUAUUCAAUUCUACCAUCUUUCCUAUUCACACCUGUCUAUCUAUCUUGUUUAAGUUAGAGCGUAGUUGGUUCUCCCGUUUCCCUGUGGAUACGAUAAAACCUUUAACCGGGUAAAAGCUUCAACGGUAUCCGUGCGCUUGCGGAUUAUCUGUGUGCGUAUAAAUACCAUAGUACACUCUAGUGCCAUGCUGGGGAUGACAACCUAGUAUUCAAGUGGUAUUAGCAAGUGUCAACACCUUCCUGAAUUAGUUCCCUCUUGGAUCAAGCCUUUUCCUUUGGCAUCGGCAGCAGUAAUUUGAUGCUGAGGAUCUACCGAUGCACUCCUUUCAGCCGCUUCCGACGUCAAGACCUUGGUUUUUCCCUUGGCAUCCAACAUAUUUGUUGGGAAAGGAUGUUGAUCGAUCUUCAACGGCUUCUGAGCUUUGGAACUAUCAAAUUUGAUUCUGCCAGAUUCAAUAGCCAAUUAUAGUUGUUGUCUAAAAAACUUUACACUCAUAGGUGCUGUGAGAGGUUGCAUUAUGCCACUUGCAGUACUUCAUCUUCUUCAACUCUUCAGCCGAUGGAAUUACAUGGUUGGGUGACAAUUUGAUCUGACCUUCCUGGAGUAGAAAGUCAAAUAUCCUAUCGCUUUGGUGAUAUCAAAUGCGAACUUCUCUGGCUCUUUAUGCCCAAAAGGGCAAGACAUCGACUUCUUGUUCUUCACCCACUCUGCCAAGCCGGUGACCGGCUCUUCAUCAGAAUCUGAGCUUGCUGCCUCGUCAACAAAUGACACCUUUUUGUUCUAAGCUCUCUUAGGUUCAAAGGAUUUGAUAUCCUGGUCGGAAAUCCUCUGGACCAAGUGCCUCUCGAACUCUUGAGAAGCAUAUUUGUCCCUGAUAUGUGGCAACAAACCCUAGAAAGCCAAAUCGGCUAGCUGCCGAUCGUCCAAAAUCAGAGUAUAGCAUUUGUUCUUGACUUCCCGCAACCUCUGCACAAAGCUUUCAACCGAUUCAUCAUUGCGUUGCUUCAAUCUGACAAAAUCAGUAAUAUUCUUCUCAUGGACUCUAGAAAAGAAGUACUUGUGGAAUCGCUUCUCCAGAUCGGCCCAAGUAAUCACUGAAUUAGGAGGCAAUGAUAUAAACCAGGUGAAAGCCGAUCCAGAUAAAGAUGAUGAAAACAGUCGAACCCUCAAUUCAUCCCUGUUAGCAGCUUCCCCACAUUGGAUGAUGAACCUGUUGACAUGCUCCAUGGUUGACGUAUCAUCCUGUCCAGAAAAUUUAGUGAAAUCUGGUACCUUGUACCGAUUUGGAAGUGGAAUCAAAUCGUAUGCAGGAGGAUACGGUGUGUGAUAAGAGUAAGUGUUGACUUUGGGUUUUAUCCCAAUUGGUCUCUCAUUACUUCAGCAAUCUUAUCGGCCCAAUAAGCAUCGGCAUCUUGCCGAUGAGGUGGUUGCGGAUCUGGCACCUGCUGAUAUACUUCCACGUGUCUAUGCGGUGCACGAUCUGCAUGGAACAUUGGGUUAAUCAUUUGACCACCAAUCUGCUGACCACCAAUCUAUUGUCCAAGAUACAUCGGAUGGUUGACCAACCCUUGAUUCUGAAACCCAAGUUGGAUUUGACCUUGCUGAAACCCUGGAGCUUGAUGACUCUGCUGAGGCAUCUGUGGGAAGACAAAUUGUCCAGGCCAUCCACUAUUGGAAUUCAUCGGCAUAGGCCCUGCCGACGACUGGUAAUUGGGCAUCAUCAUUGAAUUGACGUACCCUCGCUGUGUCAUAAACCUUUGCUGCGUCGGCAUUGAGUCUGCCGAUGCGUUAGGCAUCUGGAACAUUGGAGCUUGAGAAUUCCCAGUGUAAGGUCUUGUAGUAGUAGUUGUAGUAUACUGGGGACUCUGAUUCAUCGGUAAAUUUGGAGGUGCCGAUGCCAUAGGAGCCUUGCCUCUCGUGUCAGCCGUCUGAGAUGUUCUUGGUGUCUUCAACAUCAUCUCUGGGGCAUACCAUAACCCCACCAGUUGGGAGAAACCGAUCCCGACAUUGCCGAUUCCAACAGAUCUGUGGCAAGCUUGAUUUGCUCAUCUGAAGUUGAUGGAUUGGUUGUCAUCGGCAUAGAUUGCACAUCGGUGAGUCCUAAUGUGCUUGGAGGAACAGUAGUUUCUGUGCCCGCAGCUGCUGCUUUAGCCGAUGGAGCUGUGACAACUGGUGACCCCGGCUGAUGAUAAGAAGGACCCACAUAAUUUGGUGGCAAUUGUCGUUCUUUGAAAGUUCUAGCCACGGCGUUGAAAACCGUAUUAGACAGCACACCAGCUUGAUUGAUCAAGGCACGAUUAACAGCACUAUCAACCAUGUCUUGAAGUUUACCAGAAUUGGCUUCAAAAGUAACCUGCCGAGGCGUCGGCAGUGCUUCCUUCUGGAUCACCUCGCCACUCCUAUUUAUGCUGAAGGAUUUCAAAUAUUACUCCUUGUAAUCCUCCAUGGCUUUCGCAAUAGCUUGCUUCUGCUCAUCCUUGAGAUUGGCUUCCGUCACGGGGAUGACAUUCUCCAAGUUAAACUCGAUAGUCGACAUAUUGAUCUUGAUCUUGAGAUUGUCCCACCGGGCAUGCCAAAAGAUGUGUUGAUGCAAAAGCUAAUCUGCAAACAUAAAGGGCUAUUACCCGAUUUAAACGUUAAGGCGUGCCAGCCGAUUUGACCUUACUAUCGUCAAAGGUGAUAACUCGAAUACUUUGGUCCCGACAACAGCGAUGCGCCCGGAUGUCACGGCCAAGAGGUAUUCACGCGGAACUCGAGAAUACGCUGAGCUUAUGUCGACGAACUCCUCAUAAUAAAAAGGAAAAUAUGAUGAAGUCAUCAAAAAAAGUAGAUGCUGAAAUAUGAGUAAAAAACUUGUGUUUGAUUGAUUGAUAGAUAUCUCAUUACAAGGCCCUAGGGUCUACAUUUAUACCCUGCUCAAAGAGCUACAAUCAGACACGACUAGGACUCGAAUUCCAAAUUAAACGGAAUCCGUAUACAAAAUGAAUUUAAAUAUCUAUGGGAAACAUAAAACUAUCCUCCCGUGACAAACCGAGACACCACCAUAGAUCAAUCGGCAACCUUCAUGUUCUCCUUCCGAGUCAUCGGCACACUUCUCAUCAUAGCCAUCGGCAAAGACUAACGCUGACCAUCAGCACGAACACGUCCCCACUUCUAGACUUAGUCACAUGCAGCUGCCUCUUCAUCGGCAACCACCCUCAUCGGCAACUCCCCUGCAGACCAGUUACUGUUGCCCCAUCUUGCCGAUCUAUACUUUACCGAUCCCUGGGUACGUGUCCAAAAAUGGUGUCAACAUAUUCUUAUCACGUGGUUCGUCCCAGACAUAGACAUACCCCUUUGAAGUAGAGAAACAAAAGUUAUCCUCUCUAUUCUCCUACCAUCGCCCAUAUACUAGAUUGCUCUACUCUCUAUUCCCAUAUUAUCGCCCAUUGUUAUCUUCCUUUAAUAUUCUUCUUAUUCAAUUCUACCAUCUUUCCUACCUAUCUAUCUAGGUUAAGUUAGAGCGUAGAUCAGUUCUCCCGUUUCUCUGUGGAUAUGAUAAAACCUUGAACUUGGUAAAAGCUACAACUGUAUCCGUGCGCUUGCGGAUUUAUCUGUGUGCGUAUAUAUACCAUAGUACACUCUAGUGCCAUGCUGGAGAUGACAACCUAGUAUUCAAGUGGUGUUAGCAAGUGUCAACAAGCUUUUUGGCGCCGUUGCCGGGGAGACGGUUGCUGAGUUGACUAUGAACUAGCUUAAUCAUUUUCUAAAAAAUAAAAAAAAAUAUAUAUUUUUCCUUUUAUCCUUUGCCUUAUCUCUGCUAUUCUUUCUUCUUAUCUAAUCCUUCAUCUAUGGUCUAUCAUGAAUUCAAACAUGUCUAUCUAUGAAUUUCAUAGACCUAUGGGCACACAUCUUGAACCACCAAAAUCUUCAAAGCCUAUCGUAGCAUCUAGUUUUGAGAUAGACCCCGAAUACAUAGAAUUUGUUCAAAAACAACCUUUCUCAGGAGAAGGUGAAGCAAACCCUUACACACACCUAAGAAAGUUUUAUCGAGUCUGUGACCUCCUUCGCAUUGAAGGCAUGUCCGAUGAGACCCAUAAACGAAAGCUCUUUCCGUUCUCUUUAACGGGAAAAGCUAGACACUAGUAUAAACAUAAAGUAGGCAGUGUUCAUGAAGAUUGGAAGGAGUUAUAUAGUAGUUUUCUUUUUAAAUAUUUUCCAAUCUCCAAAGUGGCAGAACUUCGCCGUGAGAUUAUUUCUUUUAGACAACUGGAAGAAGAAUCUCUUAGCAAAUCAUGGGACCGCUUUAUUAACCUUACUCUCACUGGCCCAAAGCUUUCUAUUCUAGAAGAAGUUCUUCUAAUUCACUUUUUUGAGGGCCUUAGUAGGGAAAAUAAGCAAACCUUGAAUACAGCCUCUAGAGGAUCCUUCUAUCACCUACAUGCUAGUGAAGCUAGGGAUUUAAUUGAUUCAUUGAGUGGAAAGUUUCCUAGCAUUUAUAUCCCUAAGAAAGAGAAAGAACGAGUUCCUAGACAAGAAGAAGUUUCGAUAGCCAGAUCACAACCACUUCAAUCCCAAACUUUAGCUAUCGAUCCUAAACCAUCAAUACCCCAAACUUCUCCAAGGUAGAAAGGAAUUCCGACCUUAAAUCUUUUAGAUGCUGAUGGUUUAGACUUCUGGUAACAUAAGAGACCUUCAAGCAGGGAUAAUUCAAAUCCUUGCAAUAAUGGUUCUCUUAGAGAAUGUCCUGGUUCCUAUUAUGAAGAAGUCAAGGAUGACAUAUCAAGUAAAGGAGAGCUAAACCAUAUAGAAGAUUCUAUCUGCUCCCCUUCCAUGUUCACAAAUUCUAAAUCCAUCCUUGACCUUAGAGACCCCUCUUAUCCCUCUCCUUUUAAGUCUCAUGAUGAUCCUAACAAUCCAUCAAGAUGAUUAAACCAUAGGAGUCAUAAAGACCAUGAGGAUGACAUGUCAAGUAAUGUCAUAGAAGCAGAGCUAAGCCAUAUAGAAAAUUCUAACACCUCCCCUUUCCUGAUCACAAGUUCUAAAUGGCUAGAAUGUGUAGAAUGGAUGGACAAGGAAGAAUCCUUAAUGGAUUCUGACCUUGACUCAAUUUCAGAUGUUGAGUCUUUAACUCCCUUUGAAUAUGAGAUUAAUCCAUCUAUAGAAGAGGACAUAGAUGGGACCAAUCCAAGAGAAACUCUGAACAUUCAGAUUAGAGAUGAAGACAACAUUAAUGAGCAUGGAAUUUAUUUCAUUGCCACUUCGUUUACUCCAUGCUCAUAUGAAACAUCUUCCCAAUCUAUUGGUCUCUCCAACAUCACCACAUUUGAGAUCUCCAACCCCCUCUUCCUUUCUAUUUACAAAAACUUUAAAAGGGCGGUUGUCGAUGCAUAUGUCUAUAAUAAAUAUUGCAGAUCUCGUUGAGCUAAUCUUGAUAUACAAAGGUCGGCGUCAGAGGGGAAACGACUUCGCCAACAUAAACUGAUGGUUUCCCAAGGACAAGCUUAGUGUCCUAAAAUAAGCGCUUAUUAGAUCAUAACAUGACCUUGCCUUAUUACCUUGUGUAUUGAGCAUAUAAAGAUAAUUGUGAAAAUAUUCCUUCGGGUAUUCUUGUCACUAACUGUUGAUGCAAAACUGAUCUGCAAACACAAAGGGCUAAUACCCGAUUCAAACGUUAAGGCGUGCCUAGACACGUGCCCAAAAACGGUGUCAACACUAACCUUUCUAGGAUUGGAGCAAGAAGACUGGAUGAAUGACAAGCACAAGGUAUGUCCAACCAAUCAUCAUGCAACACUGAAUUAAAUUCAUCCAAACUUGAAUUUUGCAAAAUUCAAGCUUGGGGGAGUACCUUACAUAAAAACAUCCUUUGCCAUGUUGCUAUGUUGGUUGUCCCUACCUUUGAGACAUGCUCAAUUUGUUAAAUACUAAUCACACUACUUCAUCUGCACUUGAGUAGAUCUCUAUAAAUGCCAUCAUGCUACCUUUGUUUAUCCUAGUAAGUGUUAGUUUGGAAGUACUGCACAUACUUCUAUUGGCUUUUAAAUUAAGCAUGGUGCUUAGGUUAAACAGCAUUCCUUAAUCUGAUUAGACAUGGAGUCUAGUUCGGUUAUUGAACUAAAAACUGCUUGUGUAGACACUCUUAUAUUUUGUCGUACUAACCCCUGCAGAAAAACUUUCAAUAUCGAUUUGGGAAGUCCUGAGAUGAACUCACAUCGGAGAUGAAGAGAGAGACACAUGAAGUGUAACAAUUUGCACAAGAAGGACAUAGCUCAUUCAUCAUAGAGAGAUGAUCCAUGGAAGGAGACAAAGUACAUAAACAAGAUACACAACCACUACGAAUGGGAAGCUUCCAGAAGAUGAGAUGGUACCUUCACUCUUCAAUUAAGGUAACAUCUUAAGAUAUGUGACUAUCACUUUUAUAAGCUUCUCCUUGGUUCUGGCGUUCACAUAAAUAAAGAGACAAACAUCUGUGAUUUAUAACUCCAAAUUAACCAACCCAACUGAUUCAGCAUGUUUAGUUCUUUAAUCUUUGUUCCUAGUACUACUUCCAUGAUCCCACACUCCAAAUCAUAUGAGCUAAAAUGUUGCACAUUCAAUCUUUGGGAAGAUAUAAAGAAAAAUACAUAUACAUUGAUAGAUUAUCUUUCCAUAAGGUUGAGCAAUCUGAUCUGACAAAAGUUUUAAAUGCUACACUCAUGAACUUAUCACCCAUCAACUUUGUCUUGCUCCCUAUGCUUAAGGAUAGAGAAGAAUAAAUAUACUUUUAGUUCUGUUGGUGUUUUCCACCAACAGGACCCAUGCACUUGAUCUCUGCCUUGUCUCUAUGAGCAGGACACAUUUUGAGAAACAUGGAGGAUGUUUUAACUCCCAGACUCUACCAAGUGAAGGACGUGGAUCUACGAGCACAAACACACUGAGCAAGAUACUACCAACGCCGCACUUUGAACUGCUGGGCAAACGAAGAACAUGGGUGACACUAUAUCAAGAGGAGCAGACGUCAAGGUCCACACCUGAAUCAAAUGACGGACCUAAAGAAUGAACAUAGUGAGAAGUCUUGUUCAGAAGACUUAAAACAUUGAACCAUGCCGAAAGGUAAAAUCGGUAGUUAUCCAUAUUUAUCCUUUCUGCAUUCCCUUUUCCCCUAAAUUAUUUACUUUCCUUAAAUGGCUUGUUAGUUAAUCAUACUAUCUUGAAAAGAAAAUAAAACUGUUAAAAAUUGUAAGCCCCAUGUGAGUAUGCUCGUGGCAUAAAACCCAUAAGUACAUUCACUGUGGUGGCAUAAAAAUAAAAUAAAUAUAUUCCUAUCCUAUAGAAAUAAAAAUAUAAAAAUAAAUUUAUGAUCCUACCAAAGAGAGUAAUAUUUAUUAGAGGAAGCUCAACAUGAUAAAGGCAAAGAGAUUUUAUGCUAACACUUAACCAGUUCCACAAAGCUUUGUUGUCUAUUUGAGCUCCACAGAAUUCAAGGAUCAAAGAAGACUAGCAGACGGAGGACAUCCUAAUCGCUGUCAGGGUGCUGCCGACAUUCAAAUACACCUCCGCCACCUGCUAGCUACAUUAGAAGAAAUUACAUCAAAAUCCAGCUUGGAGGAGAGCACCCCCAUUUAUCCAGCUAAGUGUUUCUACUCAUGUUUAUACUUUACUCAAAUAAUAAAAAGAUGCAUAAUCAUAAAAACCCAAAUAAAGAUUUUGUGUUUAUAUAUAUAUAUAUAUAUAUCUUUGCUUAGUUUGCUAAAUAAAUAAGUAAAUAAAGUUUGCUAUGAACCCUCAUAUAAGCUCUCACAUGGAAAUGAUGAAUAGUUGCUCUGCCAUGACUAGUUCUCAAAAUUGAAUUCUCUCUCAAGUUUAGGCAUGACUGUUAUGAAUUAAGAUUUGCUCUAAACCUAAACUUGUGGGAAGAGUACUUGAUCUAAAGUCUAAGUCGUUAAUAGAUAUGAUAUGGGAAGGUUGAGCUGCUGUUUAUCUGUUCCUAGAGAUGCUAGAAUUAUGGAGAAUUUUGUCUUUGAAAAUCUUUAAAAUGUUGCAUGAAGUGUUCCUGUAUGAUGAGAGUUUAAAAUCCUACCACAGCCACAUAUACAUAUUUAUUAGACUAUGAACCAUAAAUUAACUUUUUACUGCUUAUGAGCAUUGAGUGUGGUCAUGCUAUGUAGACCCUUAGGAGCUUGUCAUGCGAUUAAAAUCAAGAUUCACUUGCACGUUCACUCAUACAUGCUGCUUCUACUUCGGAAGUACGCAUCCACAUACAUCCACUCAUUUCCAUCUCCAGAUUCACCCAAAAUUAUUCUACUCCUAUCCGGUAGAGAAUAGCCAAAAACAAUAUCCUAUCCCUGUUAUUCCCCGUGAAAUAAAUGCCCGAGAUAUUUUAGUUACUACCACUUGCUACAUUAUUCCAGGAGGGUGAGUGCUCUGAAAAAAAGUGAAAUACGAGGAAAUAAAAAGGGGGAAGUGCCUGGAACCUCGAAGAAAAGAAAAAGUAAGACGAGAGGUAAAAAUGGACAAGUGUCCAACAGUAGAAUUAGGGGUACAAGAUACCCACCUGAGAGAAAAAAAUAUAUAUACAGAGCAACUCAUUCCCCCUCAAAAAGCUUCAAAGUGCAAGAAAGGUAUGUAUCCCCUCAAAAGAGCAAAACUAGAAUUGGACUUUCACCACUGUUUUCACCAUUAUCACCAUCAUCACCAUACACCAUUGAUUCGCCACACAUGCGCGUCUUGAUUUGACUUAUUGACUUGUUUCUCUAGAUCCAUGGUUUGACUAUGCAAUAAAUGUCUUGUAAGUAUGUAUUAGCUGUCUCCCACCUAUGAGCUCCAGAUAUCAAAACCUUAUUAGAGUAGGGUGAGAGAGAAGGCAAUGUCACUAUGCCUCAUACCAAAAAUACCACAUACUUUGAGAGAAGGCAUAUACCAUCACUGCCUUGGUAAGGAUCUAGAAAUACCACAAAAGGGAGAAUUAAGAGAGUCAUACAAGGAAUCUCUGAGUUUUAUUUUGAAAAUCUACAAAAACUCUAGAGCUAUAGCUGAUCAAGAAUAAGAGACAUGGCGCUUGACUAGACUGUUUUAUCUUUUAACUGCUCAAGAUACAACUGACGGUUACAAGCCCCAUGGUGAAAGGAAAAAUGAGUAAGUUUAAGUCUUAACAGUUUACUCUAACUUAGAGAUAAGACCUUGUUUGAAAGCACGUGUACCGUCAACUUUCUAAAGCAUUGCAGCAAUUUCUGAUCCAUCACUAAGUCUAUCCUUGCUCAGGGACGAGCAAGAGGUAAGCUAGGGGGAGUUUGUUGAUGGUCCUUAAGUAUCAAAUUUAAUCAUCAAAUAAAUAAAGAAAAGGAUCCAAAUGCAACCAACACCCAGACUUAGGGUUUUAUAUGACAAAAUUCCACAAGUUUUGGUGUUUGUCUAUGUCUGCAGGGGGUUAUUAGGAAAUAUGGAGGAAUUACCCACACAUCAGGUUUACAUAGAUAUAUUAACCUGUGUGGCAAUUUUCUAUCAUCUAGAAGACUCCAGAAGCCACGGGAACAAACGGGAGGCCGAGCAGGCCCGGGGGCAGGGCCCCGCCCUCCCCCCUUGGGUGCCCGCCCUGCUACAGGAGCCAAUCAGGCUCUGUCUCAUGGAUUAUGCUCCACCACCUUUGAGGAUCAAGGAAAACCAUGAGAUUAAGGUCGGUUUGAUCCAACGGCCCACGCUCAUUUGAGGGGGCUAUAUAAGCAGGGCCAUUGGCCCCUGGAGGAGACACCUCUUGAUCCCUAUUCAUUAUUCAUAGACAAAGCAAAAGCUAGGGUUUGGAGAUGAGAGCUCUCAUCUCUUCUCUAAACUAUAGUAGAUCUAGAUAGUAGCGAGAUGGAGAGCGAGGGAGGAUUGGAGGAGAGGCCGGCCUGUCGGUUCUUCCCCCGGUUGUAUUUCGCCAUAAUCAAGCUCUAAUCAAGCUUGCUCAUGGGAUGACUCUGGUAAUCUACUUCUAUUUAAUUAUGCAAUUACUAUUCAUGUAUGUUCUGGUUCACAACUCUUUUGAGUACUUUUAAUCUAUAGGACCCUAUAGGUUAGAGUUGUAGUAUAGGUGUAAUCGUGGUGCUUAGACCUAGAUUACCUGUGGAUAUCCCCUGUUAGCCGGAUUGUGUGGUAGGCUGCGUAGGUGACAGCUACGUUGGUCCUCUGUAGUCCACCUCCCGUUAGCAGGAUUGGUAUGGUUUAUCGGCCUAUGGAUAAGCAUCCUUUGUGGUGUAUUCUUAUCACGUGGUUCGUUCCAGACAUAGACAUACCCCUUUGAAGUUGAGAAACCAUAGUUAUCCUCUCUAUUCUCCUACCAUCGCCCAUAUACUAGAUUGCUCUACUCCCUAUUCUCAUAUUAUCACCCAUUGUUAUAUUACCUUUAAUAUUGUUCUUAUUCAAUUCUACCAUCUUUCCUACCUAUCUAUCUAGGUUAAGUUAGAGCGUAGAUCAGUUCUCCCGUUUCCCUAUGGAUACGAUAAAACCUUUAACCGGGUAAAAGCUACAAACGGUAUCCGUGCGCUUGCGGAUUUAUCUGUGUGCGUAUAAAUACCAUAGUACACUCUAGUGCCAUGCUGGGGAUGACAACCUAGUAUUCAAGUGGUGUUAGCAAGUGUCAACAGGGGGAGCGCCCCCCAUAACACACACCAUCAUUUGGAGCCUCUCAUCUCACAUUCCUCUUGUAUUCUUUAGAUUAGUUUUAGUGGUAGAGCAAGGCAAGAGCUAGCAAGUAGAACUUGUAUCUUUGGAAGAAAAAGAACACCCGGUAUGAAUACAAUACAGUUCUCUUUCAUGUUCAAGUUCUUAUCUUAUUUAUAUAGCAAUGUAGAUGAACUAGAGUAUAGUCUUGUUCAUGUUAUGAUCAUGAUAUAUGAACUAGCAUAUAGUUUAUCUGUUAUGUUCUUGACAUGUUCAUCAUUGUUCUUCAUCGUUCAUCAAGUUAGUAUGAAUAGAGGAAGAAUUAUGGACGAGAUGACGGUUCAUUGGGCUGUGGUGGCUGCUCCUAACUUAGCUUGUCACUCCGAAGGUGUGGGGUCCAUCGGGGUUAGGAGUUGUUUCCAAUUACACGGGUGUGGUGCUCGGGUAUGCGGAGAUCAGCGGAUAUGCGGGUAUCUUUCGGGCAGAGGGGUAGGUGGCAGGGUAGUGACAGCCCUAUCCAUCCUUUGUAAUCCCCCACGAUCAAGUAUUCUAGUAGGAGUUCUGUAAAGUCUCUAUCGGCUGGGAUGUCCAGCUGCAGGGAUCUCCCUAUCAUCCCAGACUUGGUUCUGAUGCUAGACAUGCUAGUUAGAUGUUUACUAACAAUUCUUGCAUAGCUAUAUACGACCAAUGCCUGCUCAGUUAGAUAUAUUCUUUUCUUUAUUUUAUCUUUUAUCCUUGAGGUUGGCUCAGAUGUGUAUCCACUAUCUUUGAACUAUAACUUACCCCUGUCUACGCUAUGUUUACCUAUGCAUUCAAUAAGUAAUCAUGUUUAUACCAAAGCUAGAUGCAUUUGUCCUGCCUUCCUACGGGAAUUAUAAAUAACGAUACCCACUCAUGGGUUGAAAUGCUACAAUGAUAGUUUCGUGCGCUUGUGGAUUUAUCCUUAUUGAACUAUUAAUUGGUGUACCUAAGUACCGUUACUUAAGAUUGUAAUCCUCGUGUACACCCCAACGGCGCUGUGCCACAGUAUUGCAUAUCGCAUGUAAGGAUGGUUAAGAAGGCCGAUCUGGCAGUUCUAAUCAUCAAUACCAGACUGCAUUACUUAGGCCGUAGUCGUACGGACCGAGAGUUACCUUUCUAACAUAAUGGUGGUUAGGAAUGUCAAUCCUCACAUUUCUAGUGUUGUUGCUAAGGAUGGAUUUAUAGUCUAUCUUUAGUAGUGACGCUAAGAAAUGCCAACACUUUCCUCGCAAAAUUCUUUCCUACAGCCAAGACUAAUGCUCUGCCUGGGAAGAUUGCAAGUCCCUAGCAACAUGAUGAAUCAUUCACUAAAGCAUGGGAAAGAUUCCAAAAUUAAAUUGAAGACUGUCCUCAUCAUGGGAUAGAGGAGUGGAUGUUAAUGCAGACUUUCUAUCACAAGCUCACCUCUAGUACCUGUGAGUCUAUUGAUGCUGCAGCUGGGGGAGCUUUCCUGUCACUUAAGCUCUCAGACGCUAAAGCACUCAUUGAGAAGAUGGCCUCAAAUUCAAUAUGCAAUGAAGAACGUACUCAACCUCAGAAGAAAGGAGGAGGAAUCCAUCAUCUCAAGGAAGCUGACAUGGUCACUGCCAAGCUAGACCUCAUCAUGAAGAAGCUCGACAUAGAGAAGAAGAAAGUUAUGCACAUCAAUGAUUCCCAUAUGACAUGUGAAGAAUGUGGAGACUACGGGCACUCAACUGUCAGUUGCCCUACACUAUAAGAGGAUGCGAACUUCAUCAACAACAAUACCUACUAUCAUCCUGAACAAAAUUAAGGGUGAAACCAACAACCUCGACAAGGUAAUUACCAAGGUAAUAAUUUUAAUAACAACCUUCCGCCUUUGAGAGAAUUAGUUACUAGUCAAUCCAAACUGCUAGAUCAAAUGACUAGGAAACUAACAUCAAAUGAUAAAGCUUUGGAAAACAUACAUACUAGAAUGGAUACUUUUGCUUCUGCCAUAAAGAAUUGGCAUAGUUUCAAUAAAAUGCUAGAAUCACAAUUAGCUCAAUUAGCUGCUGCUACUCCUCCAUUUGAAAAAGGCAAGAUUCCAGGCCAAACAGAAGAUUUAGAAACUGGUAACCUUGUUGAUAUUCACAAUGCAACCCAAUAUCAUAUUUAGCUUGCAGAUGUACACUGGAUUGACCACUCUCUACCAGAGAAGAUGGGAGACCCUGGAAGACCUAUCAUUCCUAUCUGUAUAGGAUGCCACAGCUUUCCAGAGGCUAUGUGUGACUUCGGCGCAAGUGUCAACAUCAUGCCCAAGGUAAUUUAUGAGAAAAUAUUAAAUGAUCCCCUGUUGUACACAAAUAUGCAUUUGCAGCUUGCAGAUCAGUCCAUUUUCUACCCUAAGAGAGUACUAGAAGAAGUUAUCAUUAGAGUGGGGCAAUCAUAUGUCCCAGUUGACUUCGUGGUCAUGGAGACAGGAGUAGAUGAGAAGGCACCCAUCAUUUUGGGCAGACCAUUCUUGUGCACAACAAAAGCCAUCAUCUAUGCGGAGUACGCCAAGAUUGUCCUAUCCAUCAAGGAUAAGAAAGAGAGAUUCACAUUCAAGAACCGCAUCCUAAAAGCUCCUGCAGCCCCGAAGCAAUUCCAUCAACAAGAAGAGCAAGAACAGCAACCAAUGUCAAAGAAGUAGAAUAAUAAAAACAACAGAAGAUGGAGGAGGACCAAGCAUGCACCUAUUGUUGAUGCAAAAAUAGAUCUGCAAACACAAAGGGCUAAUACCCAAUUUCGAUGUCAAGGCGUGCCAGUUGAUUUGACCUAUUAAUCGACAAAGGUGAUAACUUGAAUACUUUGGUCCAGACAACAGCGAUGCGCCCGGAUGUCAUAGCCAAGAGGUACUCAUGCAGAACUCGAGAAUCGUCGAGCGUAACUCGUCAAAUCUUUGAGAACUCGUAAACAGAAAAAGUAUGCGAAUUGAUGAAGUCGUCGAAAAGUAGAUGCAAAAGUAGGAGUAAACUUGUAUUUGAUAUUGAUUGAUCUAUAUUACAUUGUUGCUAGGUCUAUAUUUAUACCCUGGCCUAAAGAGUUACAACCAAAUACAACUAGGAUCUAAUUCUAGACAAAACAGGACUCUUACAUAAGGCAUGUUCUAAUAAAUAUAGAAAAUAACACCUAUCUAUUUCUGUAUCCGCUUCAAUUACGAUGAAACCUCCAUCGGCUCCUGCUUCAUCGACAUGCCCCUAUAGUCUUCAAAGUUCAUCAGCAGUAGUCUCUAUAUCUUCCUUCAUCGCCAUCGGCAACAAUAAGUUCUACUGGCAACAAUCGUUGAAUCGGCAAACACCCUGACCUUAUUACACUAAGAGAACCCCUUUUACCGAUUAUCACCUCCUGUCGGCACCAAUCUUUGUCGGCUGAUCCCAUCGGCACCUUUCUGCUGACACAAUACAAUAAUCUCCCCAUUGUUGAUUGGUCUUCCAUAAUCAUUCUGACCCAUAUCCAAAAAAUAGUGUCAACACAUGCCCCCCAAUUCUGGAGUAUAAAAUCAUUAAUGCUCCAAAAUUUCCUCCAGAUAAUGAUUGCCUUUACAUAAUUAUCUCCUUAUUUGACAAAAUUUAUCACCAAAUCCAACCCUGAUUUUUGUAUCUCAGUAAAUAUCGCACAUCUUCCAACCACCUGUGUCCCGAUCAAUGCCAAGUCAUAAGGAAAACUGCUCUUCGACAAAGGCUUAACACCAAGAUACGCUGCCAAUGUUUUAUUAAAAUAUUGCACAAAGCGGAAUAUCCUCAGGAUCAUGAUUACUUGCCAUCAAAUCAUCUGCAUAGUUCCUUGAUUGUCAUAUGAACAGUUACCAUAUCCAUCUGAACAACAUCAAAUUUUACGCAUUCAGCAGAGAGAUAAGUCUAAAAUGCCCUUACUCGGCUCAACCUAUAAAUACAUCCCAUCCAGGCACUCAUCUUCUACCUUGCCAUUUUCCAUCUCUAAGACCUUCGUCGAGCAGGGACACAUCUUCAAACAACAAGAACCUUAUGCGUCAGAAUCUUUGAGCUCUCGGCCUCAUCCUCAUCUUGCUCAGUAGAAAUGGCAAUCAACUUCAAUGUCCCUAAGGUCAAUCCCGUAUUCAUCCCCUUUUUACUGCAGUUCCUGUUAUUCUCGCAAGUUCAUAUACUUAGUAUUUUUCCUUUUCUUUUCUUCUGUUUCUUUGAUCCCCCAAACUUAGGAACUGAGCGAUAAAAUAGUUAUUCCAACUAAUCAACCCCACAUCCAAUGCUUGGGCCCGAUGGGCAACCUAGAUCCAACCGAUAUGAUAAACGGAGAAACCAAUAGAAUCCCAUUUAGAGCCGAGAACUUUUCCUGAGAUCUGUGGAAAGAUACUUUCUGAUCCUGGCCAAAAACCACUAAUGGAUGGAAGAAUUGGUUCCUGAGGGUUAGUGGGGCCAAUGAAGUAUACUGGGCAAAACGCAAGCUAGAUCAAUGCAACAGACUCUCCAUUGCCGGUAUGGAGAAAAAUGAAUCGACGAUGAUAGCAGCCGCUUAUUUUUGGUCGGAUACCUUUAAUGCUUUAAUGUUUGGUCACGGCCCAGCUUCCCCCUCCCUUGCCGAUGUGCACAUGCUCACAGGUUUUGACAUUUCAACUGCCGAUGAUAGUAGGCUUUUCAACAAAAAGUCAGAUUACAAAGUAGACACCCGUAACAUCGGUGGUUGGACAUGAUAUGUCUAGAAAUAUCAGCAAACCAGAUCGGUUAGCCAGAGAGAGCAUGCUAUCUUCUUGAAUAUGUGGCUGGACAAAUUUAUCCUCUGUUGCUGAUUAGUAGGGCCAACUUGCAUUUACCUCGUAGCAGCCGAGUCACUGGCCAAUGGUUCCAGAUUCCCUCUUGGCCGAUACCUCCUGGGCUCCACUUACCAUCUUCUCCACUAAGUGACUCAAAAACUCCUGCUAGGCAAGCCCAUCGGCAAUUUGGGAGCCCCUAGUGGUUCAUCAAUAUGUUGCUAAAUGCCCAUAUGCACAAGCGUCUGCAGUGGAACUUCUUCACUCAGCAAUUCCCACGAGACAUCACUGAAGACCAUGAGUUGGCAGAGGAUGAAUUGGCAACCCGCUCACCCCUCAACUUUGGUGAAGCAGUCAUAGUCCUCCCUGGGACCGAAGCAAAUGAAAACUAGAUCAGUAGAUUCUUCUAAACUCUUUACAAUGGCCUUUCCAGGGAUCGUCAGGCUUGGAUGCCUUAUGUCCAUGAGGACUCCAGAUUCCCCCUCCUUUUCCAUCCUACCGAUGAAGCGCUGAACAAAGACAAUGCCUUGAUGAUGGCCAUCAUCACUCCCAGGGCAAUCCCACUGAACACUUUCGGUAGCGGGGAAAAUACCAGUGCCACUUAUGAAUUUUACAACCCAUCGGCAUUAGCCCGUCAAUUGGCCUUCGGUCAACUACCGAUCAAGCUUUGCUAUGCCGAUGUGAUCAACCCUAGGGAAACAAUUACCAGUGGUCUUCACUAGAUGAGGGUACCUCAGCUCCCUCCCGAUGCCGAUAGUGCGAUAUCAAUCUAUCCAACAAGGUACCGGCCUCCUUCAUUACGACUCGUAUAAAUCAUGGUGGCAAGAAUGGAAAGGACAAUUGUUCAUGAUAUCAGCCCAUAUAUAUCGGAACAUGAUCAACCCCGAGCACGAGAUUCCCGAUGACACAGUGAGUCUCUUUCCAACACUUAGUCUUUUCUUUAUCUUUAACCUCAUCGGCAACUGACUCUUCUUUUUGACAGGUUGAUGACCCAGCACCAUCGAUGAGUAGAAGUGGGCGGCCAUUCGAUCUUCGACCAGUGUCUCCAAUCUCUUCCAUCGGCUACAAUGCCCCAACUCUGGCAGCUCUGAUGCAUCGGGGAGCUCACUUCAAGAAGAUGACUACCAAACGCUCAAAGGCCUCUCCAUCGGUCGUAGCUGCCACCUUGGCACAAGCUUUCAAGGUAAAAACCCUUAAUUAUUCUAAUCAUGCUGAUCUUAGUUCAUACUUACACUGUCUUUGUAUUCAACUUACAAAAUUUAUGCCUUAUAUGCGCCCUAUAGCAACAAACCAGUGCAUCGGUAAGAAUCCAAGAUGCCCAACCAUCGGGUGCCGAUGCCCCUAGCCAACAGUUUCAAAGGCCCAAACCAAAUGCAAGGCUACAAAAGAUACUAAGGCCCAGCCGAAGCGACAGAAGGCUGCACCAUCUUCUCCCCCUCAACCAGCACCUUAGAUUCAAGCUGAACUGGUCGAUGCACCUGAUCAAACAAUUGAUCCAAGUAAUCAGGGCACAUCAUCGGUCGUUGCUUCCAAACAAAUUAUCGUUGUCCCCACACAAGGUACCUCAUCGACUUAACAUUUUUCAAUAAUUUUCAUGAUCAUUUGUUAUACUCAGUAUUAACCAAUUUUGUAGUUGAAGACAUUCCAUCGGCAAAUCCAGCCGAUCAGGGUAUAAUUCAAACUGUCUCCUCCAGCCAAAGACAAGAAAUUGCCUUGAAACAAGUAAGCCAUCUGAUUUAGCCAAUCUGUAUUAUCCAUACUUGUCUCUGAUUAACUCAUCUCCUUUCUAUUUUUCAGGAACAAGACUCCGCCGAUAGCUUAUUUUCCUUUGCCAUCGACAUCCUAGAUGAUGGAGGAGAAGAAGCAAGCUCUACACUGGCGCUUGGAAUAGUAUCGGCCGAAUUCAAAUCCAUGCUGGAAGACCUGUUGGGCUUAUUGCAGCAAGCCACAACCCAACUAGUAGAUGGUUCUCACCUAGCAAAAGCCAUCUUCAAGACAAUCCAUGGCCAGGUUCGUGCCGAUGCUAAAGAGGCAUUUUUUUCAAGAUGCUCAUCUAGAGAGUCGCCAGCUUCAAUAUCAAAAAGCUACUCAAUGCCUCACUGAUAGAGCUGCCCAAGCCCAGCUUAAAGAAAAAAUGCUACAAGUAAAGCAUGUUCCUGAUGAGAAGCACAAAAGCAUCGGCAAUUUGCAAGCUUUAGGUGCUAAGUUGAAGCAAAAGUUUUCAGAUCUGUCGGCAAAAAGAGAAACUCUGCUAGCUGAACUCAAGCAGGUCGAAGAAGCACUGACUCAGGCUAAGCAAGAAGAGAACCAACUGCCCGAUACGAUCAAAAGCCUCCAACAAGACAGAGACGCCCAAGCCCGCAAAGCCCUGUUAAUGAAAAAGAAACUCAAGCCAGUAGAGAGCUCAGCCGAUAAAGAUACCAAGGAGAUAGAGGAAGCCAACCAGAUUUGCCUGCGUGCGAUAUCAGCUAUCUAGACUUUACUAAACUUGUGAAUUUCUUCAUCGGCAAUAUGUUGCACCAGCUCUCUCACAAACACUAGUAUUUUGUCCAGCCGAUAGGAUUGUUAUCGGCACUUAAACUCCUUGUGCAUCAACCCAGAUACUAGGGUAGUACUUAUUUAAAUAUUUUCCAUUUAAUGCCCUGAGAAAUUCAACCCCUUUGAGGGUUUUUAAGAUAUACGCAUUGCUAGGAGCAGGUCGACUUAUCUCAUAGGCACCUCCCCAAUUAGGAGACCAUUUACCAAACUUCAAACCUUUAGUCCCAAUUGUUGGGCAUUCUUAACGUCACUACCAAAAGUAGACUUAGUUUUCUAAUUCUAAUAACGGCGCCAAAAAAUGCCAAACCUAUCCCUCAUGCCACUUAAGCGAAGUUGUCAUCCCCAGCAUGACAUGAGAGAUGCGGUUUUGAAAUAUGCAAUUGCUCUUCUAAAUAAAUAAUAAAUGAGAUCUGCAAGCGCACAAAUUAAUACCGAUGUAGCAUUUUAACUGAUGUAGCAUUUAUAAUUCUGAUAAUGGUGCCAAAAAAUGCAAACCUCCCCCAAGCUUAACUCUUGCUCGUCCCUGAGCAAGGAUAAUCUUAGUGAUGGAUCAGAAGUUGCUGUAAUACCUUUAAAAGUUGACGGUACACAUGCUUUCAAAUAAGGUCUCAUCUCUGAGUUAGAGUAAACUGUCAAGACUUAAGACUUACUCAUUUUACCUUUUACCAUGGGACUUGUAACCGUCACUUCUAUCUUGAGCAGUUAAAAGAUAGAACGGUCUAGUCAAGCGCCAUGUCUCUUAUUCUUGAUCAGCUAUAGCUCUAGAGUUUUUUGCAGAUUUUCAAAUAAAACUCAGAGAUUCCUUGUAUGACUCUCUCAGAUCUCUCUUUUGUGGUAUUUCUGGAUCCUUACCAAAGCAGUGAUGGUAUAUGCUUUCUCUCAAGGUAUGUAGUAUUUGUGGUAUAAGGCAUAGUGACAUUGCCUUCUCUCUCAUCCUACUCUAAUAAGGCCUUGAUAUCUAGAGCUCAUAGGUGGGAGAUAAAGUAUACAUACUUACAAGACAUUUAUUGCAUAGUCAAACCAUGGACCCAGAGAAACAAGUCAAUAAGUCAAAUCAAGAUGUGCAUGUGUGGCGAAUGAAUGGUGUAUGGUGAUGAUGGUGAUCACAAUGGUGAAAGUCUAAUUCUACUUGUGCUCUUUUGAGGGGAUACAUACAUUUCUUGCUCUUUGAAACUUUUGAGGGGAAUGAGAUGCUCUAUAUUUUCUUUUUCUUUCCUCUCAGGUGGGUAUCUUGUACCUCUAAUUCUACUGUCGGACACUUGUCCAUUUUUACCUCUCGUCUCACUUUUUUCUUUUCUUUCGAGGUUCUGGGCACUUGCCCCUUUUUAUUUCCUUGUAUCCUUUCUCUCUUUUUUUCUCUCUCUUUUCUUUUUUAGAGCACUCAUCUCCUGAAAUAAUAUAGCAAGUGGUAGUAACCAUGAUAACUUGAGCAUUUAUUUCACAGGGAAAACAGAAAUAGGAGAAUGUUUUUGGCCAUUCUCUCCCGGAUUAGGUGUAGAAUACUUUUGGGGUGGUUCUGGAGAUGGAAAUGGGUGGAUACAUGUGGAUGCGUACUUCCGGAGUAGAAGCAGCAUGUGUGAGUGAACGUGCAAGUGAAUCUUGAUUUAACCACAUGACAAGCUCCUAAGGGUCUACACAGCUUGACCACACUCAAUGCUUAUAAGCAGUAAAAAGUAAAUAUGUGGCUCAAAGUCUAGCAAGCAUGUAUAUAUGGCUAUGGUAGGAAUUUAAACUCUCAUCAUACAGAAACUCAUCAUGUGUUAUUUUAAAGAUUUUCAAAGAUAAAAUUCUCUAGAAUUCUAGCAUCUCUAGGAACAGAUAAACAGCAGCUCAACCUUUCCAUAUCAUAUCCGUUAACAACUUAGACUUCAGAUCAAGUUCUCUAAGCAAGUUUAGGUUUAGAGCAAGCUUUAAAUUAUAACAGUUAUGUCUAAACUAGAGAAAGAACUCAAAUUUGAAAAUUAGGCCGAGCAACUAUUCAUCAUAUCCAUGCUAGAGUUUUAUUAUUAAGAUUCAGUUUAGCAUAGCCACUUUAUUUAUUUAUUAAACACUCUAAGCAAAAGACAUAUAUAUAUAUAAGCACAAAAUCUUUAUUUGGUU